rnacentral:lncRNA from 1 species
CGUCAUCAUCAUCAAAACUGCCAAAACCGUCAUCUGGGUAUUCUUUAUUUGUGGUGAAAAACUCAGAGACGGGGUUUUUUGAUAGAACAGUGAAGUUAUUUUUGUGGGUUAAAGAUUGUUGUUUCUGAGGAAAAAAAGGGUUUUUUUGCAGGGUUUUGGAGAAAAGAGAAAGAUGGGUUUUUUGCGACGGCUUAGGGUUAACAGAUGGAGAUGGGUUUGAGAGAGGGCAGAUGUUGGCGGUGCCUGUUGUGGUGGCUGCCAUUAAUGGCUGAAUUUAUUCUAUUUUAUUUUAGUUUUUGGGUUGCCUUGAAAGAAAAAACAGAGGAGGUGUGUGGAGGGAGACAGUGGCGAAGGGUACUUUAAGUAGAGGGGAACUUGUUCUAGGUUUUUUUCUGGAAUUGUGAGGGAAUCUGAUCCUGUGUUUGUGCACAUGAUUCAAUUACUUAUAGGUGAUACUGUUGUGUCACCACAAAUUCUAAUUGGGAAGCUUCAGCUGUCAAUUUUUUUCCAAGGGUUAAUUAGGUAGAACUUUCAUGUCGUCGAAUUUAUUUGGAGAUUCUAAAAGUGGUUUCCAAAUAAAGAGAUGGACCAAAAUCAACAAUGUGACAAAGAUACUUUCGAUUUUUUUUCCUUGUGGGACACGAAAAUUGAUGCAUGUUCCAAUGCAUUGCUCUAUCAGAAUUGGAAUUAAACUUAGUUUGUAUUCUCCUAUUCCGAAAGCAAAACUUAUAAGUGAUAUUCUAAGAAGAAGAAAUUAAGAACCAUGACAAUUUUGAUGAUUCUAAUUUGCUAGAAAUAUUGCAAUCCAAAACUAAGAAAGUUAAAACCAAUUAUUAGAAGAAAAAAGUAGGACGGAGGCUCCCAGAAUAUUGUUAUGUGUUGUAUGUUUUCAGUUUGUAUUUCCCAAUCAAUAAGGAAAAGUAAGUACACAUGUUACAAAAAUUUAAUAAAAAAGAUUGGAAGUGACAAAACUGUCAAUUUUCUAAUUAACUUUCUCUCCUUUCGAACUUCCUGAGUUUGGUAGAGACUACUUAAGUGGUGUAUCUAUUAUAAACACCUGAAGUGAAAGUUAAUGUUUUAAUUAUUAAGAAAAGUUAGAAGAAGAAAUUUUUGUAUAAGAGAAUUGGGUUUAAAUUUAGAAUUCAUGGGGAGGAAAUGAGUCUAAAUUCUAAUAAUAUAAUUCAACACUAUUUAUAUAUAUCAUUAGUUGGGUGAAAAAUUAAUUUCCAUCCUUUGAUGUGAAAAACUCUCUUGAUCGUCUAUUUUUAUAUGAUGGUAAUUUUUUAUUUAAAGUGAAAUUAUUGGCACCCUUUCAUUAUCCUUAUAAAAUUCUACUUCAAAUAAAAUUACACUUAAAGACAAUAGAAUUAAACAAUAUAGUUUUUUCUUUAAAACAAAUUACUCAUCUAAUUUUCUACAGGUUGCUUUGUAUCUAAUUAAAAUAAAUUGUACAAAUUUAAAAUAAUCUAUUAUUUUUUUAAAUUUCUUAUUGAUUAAAUACUUGUGUGCUUAAGAUAGCUUUAAAACUAUAAGAUAAAAUAUAUAUAAUUUAAGUCAAUGAUUAACAUUAAAAAAUUUAUCUCUCAUAAAAGUUUUUAAUUUGUGCGUAGGGUAAUAAUAAAAUUGCAAAAGAAAUGAAAAAUAGCGUAGCACCAUUUUGAGUUUAAACAAUGAAAACUUUAAAUGAAAAAUUAGAAGUGUAUUUAAAAAAAGGAUAUUUUUAAAAAUAAAAUAAAUAUAAUUAAAAAAAAAGAGCUUCAUGAGGGUGCAAUAGUUCAACUCUUUUGUUUAUAAGUUUUAAGAUGUUGGUAUCCGUAGCUUAGCUUUUCCCUAAUUAUUGUAUUAAAAUGUAACAACAAUGAUGAUCAACCCUAAUUUCAUGGAGGUCAAAGAUUUUGGUCAUGCCGCAUUAAUUAGUUCGGUCAUACUUUCUACAAAUUUAUUUACAUUUAUAAUUUGACCAAGACUAGGUAAGGUGCCGCCUGGAGUCAUAUAAUUUUUUAUGUCAAAAGCGCGUUUCACUUCAAUUAAGCCAUAAAUCUCGUUUAAUAUGCUCAUUUGUAUUUUUUUUUUUUAAGUUUUAUUAUUAUUUUUUGUUUUUAAAAAUAUCAUUUAUUUAUUUUUUUAAAAUUUUUUUAAAGGUAAAGAAGUGGGUAAAGUUCAAAUUCAAUUUUUAUCCCUUACGUCAUGGCCCCUAAGAUUUGAACUUUGGUGACCAAAUGUAUAAUAAUAGGCAUCUCAAAUUUCAUUUCAAAUGAUAUGUAAUAUAUUAAGUGAUUGUUAAUCUUUACAAGAUCUGAGUGAAUUAAUUAUAUUAUCUCACUAACUAAUUGAUGAGUAUCAUAUUAUUUGGAAUAACUUUUGGAUAAAAAAAUUGUGACUGAUGAAAUAUUCUUUUGAGGAUUUAUUGACUUAACUCAUUUAUGACUUAUUGUUGCAUUUAAGUGAUAUUGCAAAUAAUUUUUCCGAUAAUAUUAUUGUUUUGACGAGUAAGUUUGGAGUAAAUAAUACAUAUGGCAAGUGUGAGGUUUGUUAUUGCAUAUAUUUUGUGGAUCCAUUUUAAAGCCAAAAAAAGGCAUUUCAAUUCAUUAUGAUUCCAGAUAAUUUCAAGCCAUAUGUCAUUAUUGAGAUAAAAAUAAAGUAAAAUGGUUAAAACUAUUUUUAUGUAAUUUAUAAAAAUUAAUGAAGCACCUGCAAAAAUUUUUAAACGAAAAACAAUUGAAAUGUGUGUGGAAAAAGAAGAAAAAAAUAAGGCAUUUAAAUAUCUUCUUAAAAAAUACGAUUGAGUAAAAUCAUUUUAACAGAAUGCUCUUCCAAAUGCAAUUCCACAUUAUUUUUAUUACAUUGGGAUAUUCCAAAAUUGGUACAACUCAUUAAGAAUUCGGCAACUCAAAUUUUAUUUAUCACUCUAUGCAUUUGACAAAUUAAAAAGAAAAAAAAUUCAUAUAUCUUCUGUUCAAAAGAAACCUGGGUAAAUAUUGUAAAACAAAUUACCAUUUUUUUAAAUUUAUGCCAUUAUAUCGUCGCUAUUUUCUCGCCCACUUUCUUAAAAUAGAAUCAAUAUUUAUUGAUGCGUUGGGUUCCAAAGUAAGCACCAAUUCAGCAAAAUGGUUUUAUAGCAGAAAAAGCACUUGUAAGACAUUCAGAUCACAUUUUUCAAUUUUGUCUUCUGAAAAUGAGCCUUGAGUUUCCGCAAGCCAAGAAGAAUGGCUAAAAAAUGUAUGAGUGUGUAAUUUGAUAGUCCAAUGGGUAUAUGCAAAAGGAAAAAAUUGGCUGUCCUUUAAGACAAAAUUGACUGUCACAUGAAAAUGUUAGCAUACUUGCCACGCAACGAAAAUAAAGAUUCCAAGAACAACUUUAUGGUCCCCUUUCUGUCCAAACAUAUGCGAUAGAAAUUAGUGUAAACGACACUUGAAAUAUUUAUGUAGAUCCUCACACAAUUGAUUAAAUAUUUAUAGUAGGGUGGAGUGAUAAAUAGUUUCACAAAAUUAUUGGAAUUAACUACUUAAUAUAUGAGAUCUAUCUCAUUAAGUAUAAAAGAUUUGAGUGCUGCUUCAAAAGCAUGAUGUUGCUGGCAACAAAUUUAACACAAAAGUUUAAUUAACUAUCCUAAUUGAGAUAAUAAAAUCUCGUAUUGAAAACAAAAGGUUUAAGGUUCGAACCUUCUCAUUCAAGAAAAUCAAGUCAAAAUAUUACAUCUUCCAGCACAUGUCAAAGAUUUUUUCAAAGGCAGACUGAUAAUUCAGGGUAAAAAAAAAAGGAAUACAUGCUAUUCAAGACAGGUAUACCUUGGACAUGAAGUCUGAGUCCAGAGCAAGAAGCACUUAGCUGAUUUUUCAAUUUCCAAAACCCAAUAAAAUCUUUGUCAAAAUAUAUGAUCUAGUCCCAUCUUAAGCACAUUCAUAGCCGUAUCACCAGGUUCAAAAUAUUUUCCCCAAAUAGAGGUAGAGAUUCCAUUGAAGUUGAGUUGUGACUUUCCCAACGUUUUGUAAUUAUAUGGUUCAGUAUACCAUGCCUAUGAAUCUUUUUUUUUUUUUUUUUUCAUGUUUCGAAGUCUAUCAAAUGAAAAUGUAAUUAUAUGGUUCAGGAUCUCAAUAUGCCGGAGCUGCAAAGGUUGACUUCUACUAUCCAAUCAAUGUCUAUACUUUCUAUUGAAUUUCCUUGUUUUUUUUUUAAAUUGCGAGAUUUAUUUUUUAAAAAUCUUGGACACAUUUUAUGUAAGAUACCAUAAAACCAAAUACAACCUUUUUUAUUCUCAGCAGCAACAUUUUUUUUUUCCUUUUAAAGAAAGGAAGCCAUAUAAAUAAUGCUUUAAACAUUAUUUGCAACAAGGAACAAUUAUUUCAUGCUUUCAUGUAUUACAAACUUUCCAAAAACGCUAGCAAGAAAAUGAAAUGGAACUUUACCUAGUCACAUAAUAUAUACUGCUGUUAGCACAAUUGUUAUGAAGUGGCUUUUGCAUCCGAUGAUUCCAGCUCCUACCAAGCAUUGUUAUCUCUAUUCUAAAUACACUCUGCAUUGCUGGGCAUGAGUUAUAUGAUUAAUGUCUGCAUCCUCACUUACAUCAUCCCAAUCAAGUGCUUUUUCUCCACAUCUGGAUUAUAAGUCCACUCCAAUCUCUUCAAAACAUCCAAGUCCUUCCAUCACAACUGAUACGACUUCCUUCCUUAUUACUUCCCCAUUAAUAAAUCCCUCCAUGAAAAAAAAAAAAGCAUUAGCAAUUCUCUUCAAUGCCCCAUCAUUCAUAUCCCCUACAACAACCAUCUUCAGACACCUCAACGUUGCCUCUUGAAAGACCUCCACAAAAUCCGAAUCAUCCGACACAACCACUAAACACCCAAACCUUCUUUUGUCCACCAUAUCCACCAUAUAAUUCCUUAACUAAACAUCGACAUCUUGUGGCUUAUCUAACACCUUCCUGACCCAAAACCAUGCUGUUUUCAACUCAUCUGCAAAAACAUAACCCGCUUUUGGAGUCAAAAUUGCACUUGCAGCCAUUUUAUAUUUUGCCAUCUUUAUUGAAUAGUUGCCAACCAAAAGCACUCUCACCUUCCCUCUAGCUGAUUCUAUUUGAUUCGACCUAUUCUUUUGUUCACCCUCAUGAAUUUGCCUAAAAUGAUUAACAAGUUUGUCAUUAUUAUAAAAUCUCCUUCCACAAUCACCUAUAUAUACGGCUUAGUAGGCCUAAUUACACCCUUGAUUUCUAUUUGGUUAAACAAUUCUCUUUCUUUCUUUGCUCUCUUACAACUUGAGGCACAUAACUAAACACGUGGCUAUUAGCAUUUGCUACCAUGUAUUUAACAACCCCAAAUGAAGAUAUUAAUUUUUUUAGUUUAAUUGCUGCUUCAAAAUGGGGUACUGCAUUUGGAUUUUGUUAUUCAAAUACCAAAAUGUUCCCACAUUGUGUUGGACAGUUUUUGGUUCUAAAGUUGAUGAUUGGUUUUGCCAAUCAGGCUUCAAAUGAGAACUUCUAAACAAUACGACAAAUGGGUUUUUGAGUUUCUAAUUUUGUAAACUUUGUUCUAUUGUGUAAGUUAUGAAAUCGCUGAAACAUCACUACAGCUACAGGUCUUUAUGUGUCAAAGAACUGCAGAAGCUGAUGAUCUACCUGUAGUAGACUGCUAUUGCCCCUGCCGUUCUAGGAAGACAAACAAGUUCAGGAACUACUUCUGGACCAAACUCAUAAUAUUGCCACUGCUUUGUGCCAAUCUGAGACGGAAAGAAGAUUUUAGUUCCUAAAUAAGGCACAUCAUGAUUUAAUAGAAGUACCACUAUAAGGAAAAAUGGAUUUCAGGAAAGCACUAAAAUAUGACAUAAUCUCCCCCUAAUAGUCUAAAGUAUCAACCAAGCAAAAACACAUAAACUAGUUGAGAUACAAAGUUAUCAUAAAAGUCAAUUUUGAUCACAAAUCCAUUAAAAUUAAAAGACAUUAGAAAGUUAGAGAACAUUAUAAUUUAGGACUCAGCUAAGUUGCAGAUUCUGUAACUAACAGCUGAGUCCACAUUGGCCUUACAUUAGUUGAGUUUGGGUUGCUUUUCCUCUCUCCUGCAACGCGUACGUGGAAGCGCCCCAUUUGCCGUGUUCUAUACCGAGUUGGUACCUGUUAAAUUGUAAAGUAUUUGUUUGGUUUCUAAGAAAGUUACAGAGAGAAAAUAACAAGAGAGAAUGAAUGUGAAUCAUUUCAUUAAUCUGAAUGGUUUUACAAAGAUGUAUAUAUACAAGCAUUUCGAAUCUUCUACAUGCUGUUUAAGCUUUAGCUAACAGCAUAACAACCUUCCUCCAGCUCAGCUGCCAAGUCCGCAUUAAUAACAAACUUGAUUAAACAAAUCAACUGAGCUUAACUAACUAAACCAUCUUAACUAAUUCUAUUAUCUUAACAGCCCCUCUCAAGCUCAAGGUCUGGGAAGAACAUUGAGCUUGGACCGUAGAUAAUGAAAUUGAUCAAAUGCUAAUGGUUUAGUUAGAAUAUCUGCUACCUGAUCACAACUUGGAACAUGAUUAAUUUGCAGCUCCUUUCUAGAUACAUGCUCUCUAAUGAAGUGUAGAUCAAGUUCAAUGUGUUUAGUUUUAGAAUGAUACUUAGGAUUGCUAGCAAGGGCUUCUGCACUUUUGUUGUCACAGUAGAGAACUGGAGACUGCAGCAAAGACACUUUUAGUUCUUUGAAAAGAUAUGUGAUCCACAAUACCUCAGCUGUUGUCAAAGCCAAAGCUCUGUAUUCUGAUUCAGCUGUACUUCUAGAUACUAUAUGCUGUUUCUUAGAGGACCAUGAAACCAAGUUGUUGCCUAAGUAAACACAAUAUCCCCCCACUGACUUCCUAUCAUCCAGAUCAGAUCCCCAAUCAGCAUCUGAAAAAGCUGUAAGACUAAGUGAUCCAGAUGAGUAAAAUUGUAAACCAUGAUCUGCUGUAUACUGCAGAUACCUCAGCACCCUUUUGCAAGCUUGCCAAUGAAGUACUGAUGGAUUAGAAAGAUAUUGGCUGAGUUUAUUCACUGUAAAAGCAAUUUCAGGCCUUGUUAGUGUAACAUAUUGCAAUGAGCCAACCAAACUUCUGUAUAGAGAAGGAUUCUCAAACACUUCACCCUUGUCUUUGACUAAUUUCUCUGUUGAGCUCAUUGGUGUUGAACAGCCCUUGCAGUUCACCAUUUGAGCUUUCUUGAGCAAAUCACCAAUGUACUUAGUUUGUGAUAAGUGCAAACCAUCCACAUUUGGAGUUACCUCAAGACCGAGAAAGUAAUUAAACUCCCCAAGAUCUUUCAAGGCAAACUCGGCACCCAACUGAUGUAUCACCUUUUCUACCAAAAGAGAAUUUGAGCCUGUGAUCAAAAUAUCAUCUACAUAGAUUAGUGCCACAAUAAUUUCUCCUGCCACAUGAUGAACAAACAAGGAAGUAUCUGAUUUGGAUGUCACAAAACCCCACUGAAUUAAAGAAGCUUUCAACCUGUCAUACCAGGCUCUUGGAGCCUGUUUGAGUCCAUAAAGUGCCUUAGUGAGUUUGCAGAUAUGAGCUGGAAAUUGAGGAUGAACAAAACCCUCAGAUUGAUGCAUAAAAACAUCCUCUAUAAGAAUGCCAUUAAGGAAGGCAUUAUUAACAUCUAGCUGCCUAAUUGUCCAAUGAUUCAUGACAGCAAGACUCAGAAUUAUUCUGAUGGUGCAGGGCUUUACAACUGGACUGAAAGUUUCAAAAAAAUCCACCCCUUGUGUCUGAUGAAACCCCUUGGCAACCAAUCUGGCUUUGUACUUUGAUAUGCUGCCAUCAGGGUUAUAUUUAAUUCUGAAUACCCAUUUGUUUCCAACAAUCUUCCCAGCUGUUUCUGGAGGAAUAAGAACCCAGGUUUGAUUCUUUUGUAGUGCAUCAAAUUCUUCUUGCAUAGCUUGUUGCCAUUUGGAGUCUGCUAGAGCUGCUUUAACAGAUGAAGGUUCAAGCUCUUGAGCUACUGUUAAGUAUGUCUUGGGCUUAAACACACCAGCUUUUGAUCUGGUAGUCAUGGAAUGAAUGUUCUGAACUGAAGAUGUCUGUACUGGCUGAUGAACUUGGAUGUGUGGUGAUACAUUUUGAGAUGAAUGGCUUGGAGAUGAAUGUGCUGAAGAUGUAUGGGAGUGACUUGAAUCAGGUCCUGCAUCUGGAUUUGAGGGAAUAGCAUAGGAUUGUGCAUUGUUGCUGUCUUGAAUGACUUCUGUAAUUGGAAUAUUUGAAAAAGAGACUUGACUUGGUUGGAUGGAUGAGAGUUGUGAAUCAGACUUUGUAGGAAAGAGUUCAAAAUAAGGAAAUUUUGAUUCAUUAAACUGAACAUGUCUAGCAAUGUAUGUUUUACCAGUGGAAUCCAGGCAUUUAUAUCCCUUGUGUAUAGGACUAUAGCCAAUCAUUAGGCAUUUUUGUGUAUGAAAAUUGAGUUUAUGGUUAUUGUAGGGUCUGAGAAGAGGAAAGCAAGAGCAACCAAAAGUUCUAAGGAACUUGUAAUCUGGUGGUCUACCAUGAAGUUUGGCAAAAGGAGAAACAUUAUUCAACACUGGGGUUGGCAUUCUGUUAAUAAGAAAGGAAGCUGUAUGAAAUGACUCCCACCAAAAAGAUAAAGGCAUUUUAGCUUGUGCAAGAAGUGUUAACCCAGUUUCUACAACAUGCCUAUGCUUUCUCUCAACUACACCAUUUUGAUGAUGUGUGUGAGGACAACUAUGCCUAAAAUGUAUCCCUUCUGCCUCAAGAAAUUUUUCAAAGCUUCUGUACUCCCCUCCCCAAUCAGAUUGUAAAGACUUUAGAGAGAAACCAAGUUGUUUUUCAACUAAGGUUUUGAAAUACUUGAAUGUAUCUAAAGCUUCUGACUUAAGGGUUAAUGGAAAAAUCCAGCAGUAUCUGCUGUAAUCAUCCACAAAACUAAUGUAAUAUCUAUAUCCAUGUAGAGAUGGUAUAGAUGCUGGACCCCAAAGAUCGGUAUAUACAAGUUCUAAAGGAGUUUUUGUUUUUAUGCCUGUAGAGUAGAAGGAAAGUUGAUGCAUUUUACCAUAUUGACAAGCAUCACAAAAAUCAGGAAUAGAUGCAGGAAGUGCAAGAGAGGAUAAUAUGUUUUUCAAUGCAUGUUUAUUAGGAUGACCAAAUCUUUGGUGUAACACAUUAGCAAACAUAGCUGGGUUAACAGUGCUCAAAUGACUCUGAGAAUUACUUGUUUGAGUACAAACUUUAUUCAAAGACAAACUAGAAAAGUUACAAGCUGAUUGGUUAAAAACAGAAAGCAUAGAACUAGGAUUAUGACUGGUGACACAUGAACUGGAGAGACAGUCAUCCUUAGACAGCAACUUAUACAGUCCUCCUCUAGCAAUCCCUUGAGCCAGAUGCACUCCCUUCCUCUUGUCCUUAAUAAAGCACAUAUUGGCAACAAACUCAAUGGUUAAAUUGGUAUUUUCAAGCAAUUUGGAAAUGCUUAUGAGAUUUUUAGUAAGAUGAGGUACACACAAGAUAUCUUGUAAAUGCAGAAAAGAAUCACAGGAAGUGGGGAGACAAGUAUAUCCAAUGUGUGUAAUUUUCAGACCUUGGCCAUUACCAACAUGUAGUAGCUGAUUACCUGAAUAUUCUCUUCCAAGGUUCAAGUUCUGCAGGUUGUUGGUGAGAUGAUGUGUUGCCCCACUGUCAACAUACCAACCUUGAUCAGCCAUGUCACCUUCUGAGGUUGCCAGGAAAGCAGCUCUUGGUGCUGAAUUUGGAUAGAAAGCUCUUGGUCCAGGAUUCUGAUAUGAAUUAUAGCCUGAAUAUGGAUUGUAAUAAGGCACAAAUUCUUUAUUGAACCUGUUCCUGCAUUCAGCUGCAGUAUGCUUUGGCUUAAAGCAUAUUUGACAGAUUACAGCAGCUCCAUUUGGAUCUGAAGCACCUUUUCCAUUAGUGAAGCCACCAAAGUUUCCACCAAAAUUUCCAUUAUUAGCACCAAAAUUAUUGGCAUUGUUAAAACCAAAUCCUCCUCUGCCUUGAUAAUUUCCAGACUGAGCAUUAUUAUUCCAGCCUCCAUUCCAAUUUCCUCUACCUCGGCCUUGAGAAAAACCUCUACCAAAGGCUCCUCUGCCACCAUUAUUAUUAUUGACAUUCCUAAUCCAGUUAGCAUUAUUCUGUCCUCCAAACUUAGUAUUAGUUCCAGUUUGAGCAACAUUUGCAGCAUAAGUCAAUUUAGCUUCCUUGCUAGCAUUUGACUGAUGUGCUUCUAGUCUAGCUUCAUGAGUUAAAAGCAUUGAGUAAGCUUCAUUAACAGUCAUUUUUGCUAGAUUUGCCUCGAUAUACACAACCACAGGGUAGUAUGGUUGACCUAGCCCAGAGAUAAGAUGUGUAAUAAAAUCUAGAGAGCUAACAGGGCUUCCAGCUAUAGCUAAAUCAUCAGUUAUUGUUUUCAGUUUUCCAAAAAAUUCAGUCAUAGACAUUGAACCUUUUCUAAGAUUGUUAAGCAUCAUCUUAAGAUGAACCUUUUUAGCAAAGGUUUCAGAUCCGAAUUGUUGCUCAAGACUAGUCCAAAGUUCAAGUGAAGUUUCAGAGUUUACCACAAGGCUGAGGAUCUCGAGAUUUAUAAAAGACAGCAUCCAGCUCAGCAGCAUUUGAUCCUUCCUUUUCCAAGCAGUGAACUCAGGAUUUGUUCGAGUUUCAAUUUCAGAGUUCUCAGAUUCACUUUGAAGAAAUUGAUCUGGACAUGACUUGGAGCUAUCGAAAUGAUCUUCAAGACCAUUUGCACGUACUGAAGAGAGAAUCUGAGAUUUCCAGAUUGUGUAGUUCGAUCGAUCAAGCUUAAUAGGAGAAGUGAAAGUGAAUGAAGAAACAGAGAUUGCUGUGUUUGGAUUUGAGCUUGAGAACGCCAUUUUUGCUUUUAGUUUGGCUCUGAUACCAUGUUAAAUUGUAAAGUAUUUGUUUGGUUUCUAAGAAAGUUACAGAGAGAAAAUAACAAGAGAGAAUGAAUGUGAAUCAUUUCAUUAAUCUGAAUGGUUUUACAAAGAUGUAUAUAUACAAGCAUUUCGAAUCUUCUACAUGCUGUUUAAGCUUUAGCUAACAGCAUAACAACCUUCCUCCAGCUCAGCUGCCAAGUCAGCAUUAAUAACAAACUUGAUUAAACAAAUCAACUAAGCUUAACUAACUAAACCAUCUUAACUAAUUCUAUUAUCUUAACAGUACCGUAACAAGCUCCUAUAAUUUAAGUUUGAUUACUGUAGACAAUAGUCUGCCUCUGCUCAAAAGCUAUGCUGCAAGAUACAACAUCUUUGCAAUGUUAUACUUUCUAAAAGUAAUAAGAAAUGAAACCAAGGGGUAAAUCGAACACCAAAAGAAAUUUAGUCGGCCAACCACAUUAUGUUCCCACACAAUCCACUAAUUAAGUUAAUAAUUAAAGGGAAUCAAAAUCUAAGAAAUCUCAUCUUCGAGCAGAAUACAAACACGCCGCGAUUGAAAAUCACAAAAUUAUAAAAAGAAGCUGACUUGAAAAGGGGUGGGCCGCCUCAUUUGCCCACCAACCACACUACACACACAAACACUCCAGCACACACAAGCUCUCUAGCUUUUGUAAAAAACUCUCUUGUAUAUUCUCUUUUUGUGAGUAAUAAAAUCAUAUUCAGCCAUAUUGCUCUACUUCUCUCUAGCAUUUUCCUAGAGUGUUCUUACUUCGCUAGUUUGAGGAGUGGUCUAGGCUUACUUAGCAACUUGUUUGCUACAAGGACAUCUUGGUCACAAAACAUGGACAUGCAAGGAAAAAAAAAUAUUGAUACGUUCUAAAAAUAAUACGCAUUCUUCUAUCGUGAACCAAAAAAAUUUAGGCUAAUGGUAGCAAGUGAAGGAAUUGUGAUUUCACGUGCAUUUUGUUGACAUGAAGGUAAAGAGCUUUUUUAUAGUUUAUAUUGUUUAAUAUAACAUUUGAAUUGCAAAAUAGGGGUACAAAAUAGAUACACGAAGGGAUAAAACUAAGCUGAUUAUGAUAAAUAUUGAAUUAUAAGAUUUAGGUUUAAUCAUAAAGACAUAAGUGGCCCAAGUCACGAAUUGAUAUCAUCCAUGAUGCAAGUUCAAACAACUGCAUAAUAAGUUGCCCCAAGCUAAACUAUUAAUCUAGUAACUAUUCCAGUCGAUGUUGGAUAAUUUUCCUAUCACCAUUUAUCACGUGCAAGCCGAAUUUGUUGCUUGGCUCUUACAUGUGGUAAGAUAAUAUGAAUCCACUUGUGCAUAAAUUUUGCUCCGAUAUUAUAUAGAAGCUUAUGACCCAAAAUUAUACUUAAAGGUUAUUUCAAGAUUUCAGGGUUGCCUCAAGCUAAUAUUAUUAUUAGCCUGGUAACCCUUUUUUUUUGUUGAUAUGUGAUAUUUUCCCUAUAACUUUUAUUAAUCUUUAUGCUUACGUUUUGUCAUUUAUCCCAAAAAUAUAACAUUAACAAAAGUUCCAAAAUUUCCUUCAAGAGAUAUAUUUGAGACAAGUAAUUUGUGCAAUAACUUUGUGAAUUGAUGAGCAAAUUCAGAGAAAAGAAUAUAUGUGCCAAACGUAAAGUUUAUUAUUGUGUUUAUUUGUAGAGCUAUUUAAAGCCCAGAAAAAAAAAGCACCGGUCCGCUGUGAUUUCAAAUAAGUUCAAGCCCUAUGUCAUUAUUGGUACAAAAAUGUAUCAGAAAGGUUAAAAACUAUUUUUAUUUAACUUAUAAACUUAGGAAAUUAUCAACUGCUCGCCCUUAAAUUGGGCUAUUAUAAAAAAUAUUACAAUAUUUUCAGGUUAUAUCAUUCAUCUACCAUAAAUUUAUAAUUGCAUAAUUUAUCCACCAAAUCAUUAACUUCGUUAAAAAGUGAUAGAUGUCACAAGGGUAAUUUAGACAUUUAACACACAAAAAAAAUAAAAGAGAAAUUAUCUAAGCUUACCAUGUUAUCAAAAUUGCUACAAAAUUUUAAAUUUGUUCAAUUUUUCAAUCUAAGUUUAUGACCUCCAAGAUUUUAAUUGCAAUUUGUAAUUAAUGAGUUCAUAAGGAUAAUUUAGACACUCAAUAUGCAAAAUAAAAAAAGAAAAGUAUCAUUUGUAUACCUUAAAAUUUGCGCUUUUAUAAAAAAUACUACAACACUUUAAGGGUGUAUCAAUCGUCCACCUUAAAUUGAAAAAAGUUAUCUACCGACCAUUAAACCAUUAGUUGCCGUUUGAAAGUUAACGGAACUGUAGCGAAUUGAUGAUUUUACCCUUGAAAUCUCAAAAAAAAAUCUCUUAUUAUCAAUUAUAUACCCUUAAAUUAUUACUUGUAUCUAUGAAAAGACUAUAUUACCCCUUUGACGUCAUCAUGUUUAAACGGCAACUAACGCUUUGGUGGACGACAGAUACAUUUUGUCAAUUUAGGAUGGACGAUUGAUAUACCCUGAAAGUGUUGUAGUAAAUUUGAUAACGGAGUAAACUAAGGGUAUACAAUUAAUAAUUUCCUAAUAAAAAAUAAAAUAAUGGUUUAAAACAUUAAAACAAAAAACUUGAUAUUCAAUUAAAUACACAUAAACUCUAUUUUUUCUUAAUUAAAAAUAUUCUAAUUUAUUUUCUCAAUUUAUCAUCAUAAAUUUACAUUAAUAAACUAAAUCAACAAAUUACCCUAAACCCUAAUUCAUAAAUGCCCAAUCAAUUUAAUAGUUUAAUUAGAUUUCAUAAUUAAAAAGCUAAAUUUAUUAUAUUGGUUGUGGUGCAAAGUCAAAAAUGCCCUUAAAUUCAAGGGUAAAAUAACAUUUUAUUUAAAGUCUAUAAAUUAUUCUAACAAUGUUAACAUUUUGGUGGACGGUUAAUAUAAGUUACAAACUUAAAAUAGAAAAUCAAAUAAAUUCAAAAUUUCAAACUAUUUAGGGCAAAUUUAGGAUAUAUGGUUAAUAAUUUUCCCAUGUCUUUUUACAUUGGUUGAUAUAAGUUACAAACUUAAAAUAGAAAAUCAAAUAAAUUUAUAUUUUCAAACUAUUUAGGGAAAACUUAGGGUAUAUGGUUAAUAAUUUUCCAUUGUCUUUUUACGUUAAAUUGAGUUUCAAACGUAAAAUGGUCAAUUUAUUAUAAUUCUGUUAAUUUUUUAGGGGAAGCAAACGAUAUAAUGGACGAAUGAUAUAAAUUGUAAAAUUAAGGUGUAUGAAUGAUACAACUUUAAAGUAUUAUAGUAAUUUUAAUAAUAGAACAAUUUAAGGGUGGAUUGGCAAUAAUUUAAACUUUAAUGAAGCAACUAAAAAAAUUUUUUAACAAAAGAAAAAUAAUUGAAAUGCUUUAAGAAAAAUAAAGGAAAUUAAAUAUCUUUAUAAAAACAUAAUUGAGUAAAAUCAUUUUACAAAAUACUCUUUCAAAUGCACAUUCCACAAGCCAGGGAGAACGGGUGACUAACAAAAAUCUCACUUUUUAUGAGUUUAUAAAAUCUCACUUUCGCAGAAUCAAAAAAUAAAAAUUAUUGCUGUCACGACAUUACGCACUUUCUUCGCGGUUUAGAAAGUUAGAACAUUUUGAAGUUCCUCAAUACAAAAUGCGUGCUACUACUAAAUUGGCACAAUUAAUGCCCAUCGAAAAGGCCAUCAAUUUAGCCAUCAAUUUUGUCAAAAUUUCAACAAUUGAAGAAACAAUGAUCACAAACGGAAUAGGUAAAUUUUGUAAGUUGAAUAAAUCUUGAGAUGCAUACAACAAAGCCUUGAAACUUUAUUCUUCACAAUUUGAGCACGCACUGAAUAUUAAAGAAUAUAUAUGAAAAAAAAAUCAUAAAGCUACCAAAAGGAACCACAAAAUCAUCAAUAUUAUCGUUUAAUAUGGAGAACGGCCUGCGCAUCCAAAUUGUGCGAACUGAACACGCUGAAAUGUGUGUUUUGUUUUUUGGAUUUUUGGAAUUUUUUAAAAAUCAUUUAUGCUCGCUGCCAUCUUUUUCUUCAUUGGCGUUUUCCUCUCUUGGCUGGCAUCUGCCUCGUCUGCAGUUUGCUGUAUAAUGAAUGAUGAAUAAAAUGAUAAAAAAAAAACAAACAGAGAAAAUUAUAAUAAAACACAUAUAUAUAUUGAAAGAGAAAUUUUGAUUUUAGGAUAGAUCAAUUAGCUAUCACAAACGAAAACAUGAACCAACUAUGUAUAGAGUCAAUUAAUUUAAAGUUCUCAAGAAUUACCUCUGCUCCUGAAUUCUCGGAAUCAUCUUCUCCUUAUGAAUUUCCACGAAGCUUGGGACAAUUACGAACAACAACUCUAUAGGAUGCAGAUGGAAAUGAGAUCUGAUAACCCGCAGGCCAAAUGUUGGUGAGGUUUGGUAAAUCUCUCAGUUCCAAACUCCAAAGUUCAUUCAUAACAAUUUCAUUGUAAUCCGUGACGUCUGCUCCAUCUUUAUGCCAGAAUACUUCUUCUAAUUCAUCAUUUCCUUCUAUCCAUAUGUUAUUCAGUUUUUGAAGACUUUGAGCUACGCUGAUAUGAAAUAGAUGCUUUAGUUUGCGGCACUGAACGACACUGAUUCUUGUGAGUUUUGGGAAACAUACAGGUUGGAGAUGAUCCUCAUCCUCAUCAAUGAUUUGCUCUAAUUCCCAGCAAUUGCGAAUGUAUAACUCCUUCAAUUGCAACAGAUUUCUAGCAAGUGUUGAUGAGAAGAGACGUCUCAGCAUAGUGCACCCGUACACUCUUAAAAAGGUAAGACUUUGCAGGCUAAAAUUAUGAGUGGGACCUUCAUGAUAUAAUAAUACUUGCAGUUCUGGAAGAUCUUCCAAUUGCAAUGUCUUCAAACUUGGGAAUAGUUUGUUUUCUUGUCCCUCAGCGAUAAUAGCUUCCACUUGAAAUACCACCUGUACUCCAAGUUGGCCAAUACCCAAUUCUUCCAAAUUUUUUAAUCCGUGCUUCAACAGUGCUGGAAUCGUGUCACGCAAAUGGGAGCAACUUUCCACACGUAAAGUAUUUAAGUUCUGAGACAAAUAAAUAAAUAGCUUGAUGUAAUUAAAAUUUGUUAGCAGCUAAGAUUAUCACAUGAUAAGUGAUGAACACCGCAAAAAACAAAAACAGAAAACAAAAUCCAUACAAAAAUAUCAUAAUACAUAUGUAAACUAAUAAAAUAAUUAAAAAGUAAUGGAUUUAAAAAAAAUGAAAUUAGUUAAAAGAGAUCAUGUGAAGUGAUAUAAAUGUGACAUUAGAUUGUUUUAGAAAAAUUAUUAUUCUAUUAAUUUAUAUGGCUUGAUCAGCUAAUUAAUUGAAUUUGAAUAAUAUUAUACACACUUCAGAAGUAUUUGCAUCAAUUCUUUCUAAACCAAAAUGAAAUCUGAUAAAAUAAUUAUUAUCAUUACCACAUCCACCAUCACCACCAUCAUCUCCAUAGGAUCAAAUAAUUAAUGGCUGAUCAUAAAAUUUAUUGCUAAACUAUCAUUUUGAGUAAAAUUGAAUGAAAAGAAAAAACAUGAACCCAAACAAACAUACCUUUUCAAGAUACUGCAAAUUGGCUUCAAGUUCAUUACUGUUGAUGGUCAAUUUGGGACAAUAAUAAAGUUCUAACUCUUCCAGUGCCGGCCAAGUUGAAUAAUAAUUUUCUGAACAGAAGCUGACGAGUUCUGGGAGUUCUUGAAGUGUUAAUCUUCUCAACAAGGGGAGGGCGAGCAUCGUAUUUCCACCUUCGACACUUAUUUCCCCUUCAUUGUGAUCAGACUUUGCUUCGACAAUACAUUCCAGUCUCUCGCAAUGGCUUACACAGAGACUUUUAAGCUGCUCCAAACUUCGGGCUUGUGACAACGUGAAGAUGUAUGUCAACUUGUUGCACGAAUGCACAUUCAAUUCUGUAAGAGUUUGGAGACUGAUCACAUGUUGGGCGAGUGCCUUCCAUAUCCACUUCAGUUCUGGUAAGCCCCACAUAGAUAACUUCGCUAAUCUUGAGAGACUCUUUCCAUGCGGCGACUUAGAGGCAUCCAUUAUGCAUUCUAAAUCUUCGCAAUCGCGGACAACAAGACAAGUCAACUCAUUUAAGCCCCUUUCAUCUAUGCUUGGCACAAUAUUGUAACAACCAAUAAUCCCAUUUAAAAAAAGAAUUUCCAGUUCUUGAUACAAAGCCGAAAAAAUACCGAGCGAGGUCGCUUCAGGAGGGUAGUUACAAAUCAUUAAGAUCCUUGCCUUACCAUCACGUUCCCUUUCAACAUAAACUCCAACUUUAUAGAUGACGUACCUUUGCAAUUUCGGGAAUGUAAAGUCUUUUGGAAGACAUACAACAGAUCCGUCGACUUGGGAGUUCAACUCAGCAAGCCUAGCAUUACUUUCUUUUGAACUCAUCCCUUCAACCUCCCAAUUUUUUAUCGGACCAUAAAAUUCUUCUAAUUCAGGAAAUUUUUUUAUCGUAAUAGGAGAAACAGAACUGAUAUCAAUAUAUAGAAGUUUCAAUCUACGAAGUUCAUCCGACAAUUCUUCAGGAAUUUCAAUGGGAGAAUCCUCGAGAAAAAGAAUUUGAAGCCUCUUCAACUUUCCAAGGAAAGAUGCUUCACUCACCUUACAUCGAAUCAACUGCAGAACCUGGAGGUUGGUGAGUCUCUGAAGCGAUUUAAGUGAAAGAACUCCACCUAUUAUAGUGACAACUUUCAAUGCUGGCAUCCCUUUAAAAAAAUGUUCUGGAAUUUGCAAUUCGUAAUUAUAUACGGUGUUCUCCAAUCGCAGAAUAUGAAGGUUAGGGCAUACCAAACUACUAGGAAGCUCUUCUUCUUUAUUUCCCAUUACAGAGAUUCCUUUGCACUGUUCCAGGCCUUUUUCCACCGCCCGUUCCAGCAAUCUGAUGCCAUUUAUACUAAACAAUCUCUCUUCCUUCUCCUUCUUCUCUGUGCUUAUCCAUAUGGCUACAUCACGAACUAUGUCAUGCAUUUUCACAGAUCUGUCAUUACCAGUGUCUAACAGCAGUGAAGCAGCUUUGAGUCCGUCAAUUGUUCCAUGCAGUAGGCUUCUGGUGUUCUCUAUUGACUCAACUUGAUACCAAGUCAACCCUACUGCAUAUCCAACCAAAUCCUCCAAAUUAAUCUCAUAAUCUUCUGGAAACAGCGAACACAACAAGAAGCAUAACUUGGAAUUGUCAUCAUUCAAAUUGUCGUAACUAAAUUUGAGACAACCGUAAACGUCUAGGUUCUUCUCAUCAAUACCUUCUAUUGCAUAGAGUUUUGCAGCCUUUAGGUUAUGUAGAGCCAGGUUCCAUUCAUUAAAUCCUUUUCCUCUUAGUGCACUUCCAACAGCUUUAAUAGCUAAAGGCAGCUCGUUACAUUCUCCAGCAACUUCUUUGGAAACAUCAUUCAAGGUGGAGUCAUUUUCAUCAAUGCCGGCAUUUUUUCGCAGUAAAGCCAAUCCUUCUUCUGGCGUUAGUGUACUAAGUUGAAUCUGUGUGUCACAACCCAAAGAAUCACAAACUGACUUUUUGCGAGUGGUUAGAAGGAUUUUGCAACAAUUAUCUCUACCACCAACGGGAAUACCUAAUUUUUUCUCCAAGUCGAGUUGUUUCCAAACAUCAUCAAGGAUUACGAGGAUUUUGCUGCUUUUACUCUCAGAAAACAUCAAGCGCAAUCGGUCUGCUCUCUCUUUUUCAUCUUUCUCAUUUAGUGCCCAGCCUAACGACUUUGCUAGCUCACCUUGAACCUUUAUUAUAUCUGGAUCCUGAGACACAGUGGCUAUCCCCACCUUAUCAAAAAUCUUUUGUUGCCGAAGUUGAUUGCCCAGAGAUUUUGCCAAGGUCGUCUUUCCUACACCGCCGAGACCGUGCAAUCCCACCAUCUUUGUGCUCUCUUUUUUCAGUGCUUCAGUGAUCUGAUUACAAGCCGAUUCUGUAGUCUUGAAAGAAGAAAAAAAUUUCGGUAUAGGCAAUUCUUCGUCUGGUGGUAGAGGUUUAGGACGGGCAACUGUGCUGAAUUUGCCGCAUUUCUUUUGUAGUUCGGACAACUUGCUACUCUUCUUUGAUACUUUUCUACCCAGCCAGUAUCGCCAACCCCAAUUAGGACACCAUCCAUUAAGACAACUCUUCUUUUCAUCUAUCUUUUCUUUCAAAUUUCGAACGUCGGCCAUUUCUUUGUCUACAUCCUCAAGCCAUGUCUCGACAUCUUUCUCGAUUACAAUGGCUCGGUGGAUUUGUCGCUUUUGUUCUACUUUUUCAUUGAUGCCAUCUUUUGCCUCCUUCAAAUUAGUUUCUUCAUCCUCAAGUUCUUUAAUAACACUGUUGAAACAGAGCAGAUAACGAGCUUGGUUUAUGGUUGCAUCCACCAACAACUCUCCAAGCCUUGAUGCAACACCUGACAAAAGUUCCAUGCUAUUUAUCUGCAAUUAAUAAAGUUGAUCUCAGUAAGCUAUAAGCAAAACAAUGAGGCUUGAUCACAAGAUCGAACGAGAAAGUUUGAUUACCUUUUUCUAUUCUGUGAAUGCACGUUUAUUGACACUAGCUUUGACCAGUAAGAGCACAAUGCAAACGUCGAGCUUUAAGUGGUCUUUAGCUGCAAAACAAAAGAGAGGAAAUAAGUUAAUUUAUUAUUAUUAUUAUUUUUAAGGACAGAUAAAGGUUAGCUAGCUUGCAGACAAAUUUACUGAAAUCAAGACAAACCUAAGAGUUUUCCUAAUUUGUUCAAACAUGGAACAAGUGUUUCACAGGAGUAUAUCCAUAAAGGCCCCAGCGAACGUAAUAUGUGCUGGACUAUAUUGAAAUUAGAUUAUUUUAGAAAAUUUUAAAUAAAAAAUAUCAAACAACAAAGAAAUCUAAUAGAAUCUGGAUAAACAGCAUGGGAGAAUAUGGUAAAAUUGAUUAACUUGGUUCAAAAAUUACAAUUCUUUUUGAGAUUUGAACCGACGAUUUUGAUUAAGGUCUCCUAAGCCACAAAGCAUAACUCUUACUACUAAAUUACACGCAUUUUGUUACAUUUAAAUGUGGUCAUAUUCUUUUUAUUAUCUUUUUUUAGAAGGGACUCAUGGUAUACUUAAAAGAAAUAAUAAUGAUUUAGAUGGGGCUGAAGCCCACUCAUGAAAAAAUUUAAAGGUUUUCAAGAUAAUUACCGAUUUUUUUCCACCCAAUAUUCUAAUAGAAUGGUGCCAGAAUUCUCAAAUAAUAUCUUAAUAUUAUUAAACUAGUUGGCACCCACCUAUUGGAUGAUUAAUUUAAUAAUUUGGUAAAUUAUCUAAUACUCCAUCUCACUAUCUAAUGAUGUAAAUGGUGGAGAAGGAUCGUCUCCUAGACUUUUUUUCUCUCACUAAACUCUUAGUGAAAUAAGUGGCCAAAAUUGAAUUUUAAUUUUUGAUAUUGACAAUCAAAUUGGCUUGUUUCACAUUAUUAACAAUUAAGUCAACUUUUUUUUCUCAUUUUUUCAAUUAGAUUUGGAAGGCUAUAAGAGAGUAGGAGAGAAAAAACACUAGAAGGAGAUCUUAAUCCAUAAAUAAUAUCUUAUUUGGGAUGGUAAAGAUUGAGAUAAAUUUCCUCAUAGUCUCUAAAGUUUUGGCCUAUGCGCAGCCAUAAUUUUAGUAUUUUUAAAAAGAAUGGGAUUAUUUACAUUCUAAAAUCUAUUUUGAAUACUUUUUCACUCAACACACUCAUUCAAUAAAUAAAUUUUAAAAAAUAAUUUUUACUUUACACACUAUUUCAAGUGUCAAAACUAUCCUUCAUUAGGACCAUUUCAUUAACUAAUUAUUUUCUAUUGACACCCAUAAAAUAUUCAUCAUUCUUGAACCAUGCGGCGUUAAUUAAUGAUUCCGAAGCAUUAUCAAGAUUCAAGAUUUGUGUUGAAAUUCUUUCAUCUGACAUUUGAACCAAGCCACUAGCUAUAUACAUAUAUACUUUCAAAUGCAGCUCGGGGAAUAUUUUGUGAAACAAUAAAGAGUACGUGGCUUGCUCAUUUCCAAAUCAAGUUCGGGGAAAAAACAGAGCAUUUUUCUUUUAUAAUGGAUUAGGUUAGACGAUGAAGGGAAAAUUAUUAGCGAUUGUUAGUACUUUUGUGUGUGUUAAGAGUAAUAAUAUUAUUUUAAAUUAUAUUAAUGCCUUUGGUAGUGAAUUCAAUUAGGGUUAUUUUAGUAAUAUAAAUUUUCAUUAAAAUUAAAGUGUCCAAAUUAUGAUUUAGAUUUUUUAAAUGUAAAAUAAUAUUUUUUUUAUCUGAUAUAAAUUAAAAUUCAAACAAAUGAAAAGUAAAGAAUAUUAAUUAGCUUUUAAUAGAAACAAAUAUAAAUAGAUGUUUUGAGUAGUUAAUUUUUGUUAUUUUAUGCUAUUGGUAGUUUGUGGAUUAAAUAAUUUGUAUAAGGAUAAAUGGGGGUUUGUAUAAUUUAUACAAAGAUAAUCUCCAAAAUAAGGUUAUCUGUCGAAUUUAAAAGUGUUAUAUAAGUAGUAAUCGUAUAUGCAUCAAAAUUUUUAAUAAAAUUUAUUUAGAAAUUGGCCAAUUGGGUUUUAUGAAGAAAAUAGAGGGGCAAGUAAUUAUGUAACAAGUAAUUUGUAGGUUGUGGUACUUCUCCAUACUUUAAAUCACUUUUAUCUAAUCAAUUGAUAAAUAUUUUUUGGGCACCAACAAAAUGAAAAGAAAAAGUUAAAAAUAAUUCUGAAAUUAAAAACGUUAGGUACUGCCUAUAAGCUAUACAAUUUUACCUUUUCUUCUAUCACAAUUAGUAUUAGAAAUAAAAAUAGUUUCAAAAUAAAUGUAAUUAGGAGGUAAUAUUAUCUCAACAAUACCUUAUAGGGAAAAAGACAUCUACAUCCUAAAGUUUGGAGAAAUGGUAGUAAAGACCCUAGGUUUUCAGAAAGGGAUAUCAAGACCCUUUUUUGACCGUAAUACCCUUUAAAUCUAGUAAUUAGAAAAUUGACUUUAAGAUUUUUUAAUUGACAAAUUUAAUAUAAAUAAUAUAAUCUAUCUAGUAGAUUAAUAAUAUUAACAAUAAAAAAAUAUUAAAAUUUAAAUUCUUAUAUUUAUUUUAAUAAUAUAUUUUUAUUUAUUAUAAAGAUUUUAAAUAAAUCCUUGGGUUAGAUAGGUUUUCCAGUUAACAAAAUAUACCCCUAUUAAUAAUAUUGAAAUUACUUUCUACGUAAUAUUUAAAAUAAUUAUAAUUUAUUUAUUUUAAUAUUAUGUUUCUAUUUAUUAUUAAAAAUUACUUUAUUAGAGUAAUUUUUAUUAAUUAAAGCUUUAAAAUCAAUUUUCUAAUUACUAAAUUAAAAGGGUAUUAUGGUCAAAAGGGGUCUUUCCUUUUUGAAAACUUAGGGUUUUUGCGACCAUCUCCCCAAACUUUGGAGUAUAGGUGUCCUUUUCCCGACUUCAUAUAAAGAUAUUCCAUAAGGUCUUAUAAUAACUUAUAUUAUAUGAAUUUAAUUAAAAGAUCAUUAAUACUUAAAUAAUAAUUAUUAUUAUAGAAGACAUUGUAAUAAAUUAUUUGAUAUAUAUUAUUAAUGAUACUAUAUAUAUGUGUAUAUAACUACAUGAUGGCUUGGAUAUAUAUUGUUAGUGGUAAUAAAUUUUAAAAAAAAUUAAACUAAUGAUUUCAUGUAAUUCAAUGGUGGAUGAUUUAAAAUAAUAAAAUAUUGUUUUGACUUUCAAUAUCAACCGUUAGACUGUGAGAAAUUAAUUGCUCAAUGUUUUGUGUUAAAUUUUUAAAUUAAAAUAUCCUAAACCAUUUGUUUUACUUAAAAUACAAAAAAUAUAUAAAGAAAAUUUCUCAUUAAUUUUUAUAUUUUUAUCAUUAAAGUAAUGACUCUUAGUAAUAUAAAAUUUUAUAAUUAGUUAAUUGCAAUCAAAUGAUAUCAAUAAAAUAAUAUUUCAUGAUUCAUAAAUUAAAGCUAAUUAAGAAUAUAUAUUAGUUUUAACUUUUAUGAAAUCAACUAAGUGAUAUUAGAAAAUAAAAUAAAAAUAAACUAGUGAAACUUAAAUUUUAUAAGGUUUGAAUAAUUUUCUACCAUGUAAGAAUAUUAAUUGUGACAUAAACCAUAGUUUCAUGGUAUAUGUAUGCCGAAUGGGGUAACAAAUAAUAUAUACUUCACGAUCAUGAUAGUAUAUAAAGUAGUGGAUAUUUUAAUAAAUAACAUAAAAUUCUUAAGACAUAGGUGGUCAGUUAUGUAUAUUUUGGGACAUAGACAAUCUCAAUCAAGAGUUUAUUGAUGUGAAUAGAUGGCUUUCACUUAAAUGUAUGCACUUAAUUGUGUUGUUUAUUGGUAUUAGAUAUUCACUUAAAUGUAUAUACUUAAUUGUGUUGUUUAUUGGUAUUACAUGUAACAAAAUUUUAUAUUAAAUUUUAAAGUUUUAUAUUGUUGUUUCUAUUGAAUUUAUAAAUACAAUAAAAUUAUGGCCAUCAACAAUCACAACCAACUGCCACCAACAAUUAGAUUCUCAUAUCCGUUGACGACAAUUUUUUAUACUAUUGGAACUCCAAUCUUUGAAGCUACACAAUAGUUAAAGUGUACCGACAUCAAUAGAACUUCCGUUCAUUGUAGAUCUAUAGUCAAAGUUUCGAAUCUUAAAAAUUUGACAGCAGAUUUAUGUCAAAUGAAAGCUUGUUACCAGUAAUUCUUAUACAAUUAUGUUGUUAUAGUAAUAAGGAUUCUAAUGGUACUAAAAUGCACUCCAUUAGACAAAAAGAUCCGACGACUAGUGGCGACAAUAACUAUCAUUAGUGACUUGGAGGUAAUUGCCGUUAAUAAAUUAUUUUUAACUUAAUAAUUAAUACAAACAAAUAAAAAAGUAAUUUAAGGAAAAUUAAUGUAAUAAAUAAUUGAAUUAAAAAAAAAUAAAACCUAAAUUCUCGACCAUUUAUCCGUAUGUUUCGAAUCCAACGUUCAAAAUUGGAAUAAAACAUAGUAUAGCCAUUGGAAGUAAAACAAACAUUAAAGAGACUAGGAAAAAAUAUCUCAUACCUUCUAUAAUGAUACAUCCUCAAUCACUGCAGAAAGCUCCAAUUAAAAAGUCGCACAAGUUCGGAGAAAAUUACCUAACAACACAAAUAAACAUCAAAUCAAAGCAACAUAGGAUCCAGCUAACUAACAUCAUAAGUAAGUCCUUGUUCUCAGUCAAAUCUUGCAUUCUUAGGAUAAAAAAAAAAAAAAUUGAAAGAAUAACGGUAACUGGAAAGUUUGACGACAUAAAGAUCUAGCUAAAUUUUAAGAAGCAAAAGUAAAUAAUGAAAGCUCAAUAAAAGAUCAUCAGCAUUAACAUACCGAAAUGAGAGCAGCUCACAGAACUGGUAAUUUCCAAGAACAGGAAAAAUAAGUGAGCUGAUAUUGAGGACAACUAAAGUAGUCAUGGAGUAAUUUGCUAUUGAGGACACCUAAAAUAAGAAAAUUAAUUAACAUUGCUCUAUACACCAUUUCAAUAAUUUGACUAUUAAAAAAAAAUCCUAUCUAGAUCACGAUUUCUCAAAAUGAUGCUUUUUCUAAUUAAAUAAAUCAAAAUGCUUGCUUCUUUCUUUUUCAAAAAUUGGCAAUGGCAUCAAUUUUUUGCUAGAUUAUUAUCACCAAAAGCACAAGCAAGGAAUCAGAAUACUCUCUGAAACCAACCAUGUAAAGAGUAGAAGUAAGUGGUCAAUUGUAAAUUAGUCUUUCUUUUUUCUUUGUUAUUUUUUCAUUUUUUGAAUGUGAACUAAAUAAAUUUAAGGGUGAAGCUAUUACAUCUUGAAAACUAUAACUGAACACCCAUUUUUUAAAUUAAUUUUUUAUUACUAAAAUAACCAUGGAGUAAUUUGCUACUAAGGAAAACUAGAAUAAUAAAAUGAAUAAUGAUUGCUCUAUACACCCUUUUCUAAGUCUAUCGUCUUCUUAAUUGUUAGGAAAUUGGUGGGUGAAGCAGACACGCAGCUAAAGUAAAAUUGAUAGAAAAAUAAAGAACAAGCACAAAAGAGAAUACCAGAAAUUACGUGGUUCGGCUUUUAGCCUACGUCCACGGGCGAAGACAGAAAGAAAUAUUAUACUAGUGAAAAGGAGUUACAAGUAUUGUAGUAUUUUAGCUCACUACCCAAAACCCCAAUACACCCAAACUCUCAAAUCACUAAGCACACAAAAUUAUUUUCUCUUGCAAGAAUUACUUCUCUCAACUCUCAACUCUCUCUACAAAAAAUUGCCUCUUCAAGAUUGGAAUGAAAAAUGAGGGUGGGAAGCCCUCUUUAUAUAGCCAAAAUUUUGGCUCUUUUUUUUUUUUUUUUUUUUUUUUUAUUGGAGUCAUUCAACACGGCACCACCAACAAUGGCGGGCCGUGUUGAAUGUUGAAUGGUUGGCACCGGCCAUCUAGAUGGCCGGCGCCAGCCAUGACUUUCAACAUUCUCCCACUUGGAGAUUUGAUUGAGGACCAAUCAAUCUCCACACCAUCCUUUCUGCUUCGCCAUAGUCAUGUUGCCUACGUUGCUGCUAGGCCACAGGAGGAUCUACUCCAGACAAACUUAUCAGUAUUUAUCGGCUUGGUCAAAACAUCUGCUAGGUUCUCCUUCGUAUGGAUUUUCUGUAAAUCCACACUUCCAUCUUCCACUACUUCUCGAACGAAGUGAUACUGAACUCCUAUGUGCUUUGUCCUGGAAUGAAAAGCUGGAUUCCUUGCAAUGUGCAAGGCACUCUGACUGUCACAAAACACAGGAAUUUUCUGUUGUUUGUGCCCGAGCUCCUCCAAUAAUCUUUGUAUCCAGAUAGCUUCCUUGCAAGCUUGUGUAGCUGCCAUGUAUUCUGCUUCUGUUGUAGAUAAAGCCACAACGGUCUGCAGUUUCGAAACCCAGCUUACAGCUGCUCCCGCAAGUGUAAACACAUAACCAGUAGUGGAUUUCCUUUUAUCAAGAUCUCCUGCAAAAUCUGAAUCCACAUAGCCCCUGACAGUAAAUUCUGAUCCUCCAUAACAUAAUGCAACAUCUGAGGUUCCUCUGAUGUAUCUCAGAAUCCUCUUCACAGCUAUCCAAUGCUCUCCGCCAGGAUUCGCCAUGUAUCGACUGACUGCUCCCACUGCUUGUGCAAUGUCCGGUCUUGUACAUAUCAUAGCGAACAUCAAACUUCCCACUGCUGAUGCAUACGCUACUCGAGACAUCUCCUUCCUCUCUGCUUCAUUGCUAGGACACAUACUUGAGGAUAAUUUGAAAUUAACAGGAAGUGGGGUAGAAAUUGACUUACAAUCUUGCAUGUUGAAGCGCCGUAAGAUUUUCUUCAAAUAAUUCUUCUGUGAGAGCCAAAUCUUCCUGUUAUUUCUGUCUCGGUGAAUUUGCAUCCCUAGAAUCUUGUUUGCUGGUCCCAAGUCCUUCAUUUCAAACUCCCUAGCCAACUGUGCCUUCAAUUCUUGGAUUCGAUCUUUGUUGGGAUCUGCUACCAACAUGUCAUCCACAUACAACAGUAAAAUGAUGAAAUCAUUAUCUUCAAACCUCUUGUAAUAUGUACAAUGAUCUGAACUGAGUCUGUUGUAUCCAAGGCUCAUGAUGAAGGAAUCAAAUCUCUUAUACCAACACCUCGGCGCCUGUUUGAGACCGUAUAGAGAUUUGUUCAACCUGCAAACCAAGUUCUCCUUUCCUUUUUCUGCAAAACCUUCUGGUUGGAGCAUAUAAAUUUCUUCUUCAAGUUCUCCAUGAAGAAAUGCAGUUUUAACAUCUAACUGCUCUAGAUGUAGGUCAAAUGUAGCACACAUUGCCAAGACUAUUCUGACUGUUGUGAGUCGAACCACCGGAGAAAAUAUCUCGUUGAAGUCAAUACCUUCUUUCUGAGCAUAUCCUUUCACUACCAGUCUUGCACGAUACCGCUCCACUUGGUCAUUGCCAUCACGUUUGAUCUUGUAGACCCAUUUGUUUCCAAUGGCUUUUCUUCCACGUGGUAGUGGUACAAGUUCCCAUGUCUUGUUCUUGUGUAGAGCUUCAAUUUCUUCCUGCAUUGCUGUCAUCCAUAAAGCAACAUCUGAGCUGUUUAAAGCUUCAUGGAAAGUUGAAGGCUCUCCAUCCUCUGUUAGAAGACAGUAUGCAACGUUGAUCUCUGUGACAUACUCCGAGUGCCACGUUGGCGGUCGUCUCUCACGAGUUGACCGACGAACUUCUGGAGCCUCGGACUCAACUGGUUCUUGUUCCUCGUGCUCUGAUGCUACUUCAGAAGAAUCUGAAUCUUCUGGAUUAUUUUCGACAUAUACCGGCACAGUCUCUGACUUUUCUUUUACAGUGCCAUCAUCUUCAUCUUUUCUUUGCAGUUGAUCUUCUACAAAAAUAACAUCUCUGCUGAUGACGAUCUUGUGGGCAGUGGGGUCCCACAGACGAUACCCCUUUACUCCAUCAGCAUACCCCAAGAAGAUACAUCUUCUAGAUUUUGCAUCCAGCUUUGUUCUUUCUUGGGCAUUGUACAUCACGUACACAGGACAUCCAAAUGCAUGUAGGUAUGAAUAAUCAGCUGGCUUUCCAGUCCACAUCUCCAUCGCUGUCUUCAACCCAAUAGCUGUAGAUGGCGACCGAUUUACUAUAUAACAGGCAGUUUUGGCUGCUUCUGCCCAGAAUGAAUUGGGUAGACCAGCAGUCCUCAACAUAGCUCUUAUUCUUUCUGUAAGAGUUCUGUUCAUCCGUUCUGCCACUCCAUUUUGUUGAGGAGUGUAUGCCACCGUGAACUGUCUCUGAAUACCUUCUUGCUUACAGAAAGUAAGAAACUCGCCGUCUGUAUAUUCUCCACCAUUAUCUGUCCUCAAGCACUUGAUCUUUUUACCAGAUUCAAGUUCCACCCGCGCUUUGUAUUCUUUAAACACUGGAAAUACAUCUGACUUUUUCUUAAUUGGAUACACCCAACAUCUUCUGGAAUAAUCAUCAAUGAAAGUCACCAUGUACUUUGCACCUCCCAUGGAUAUAUCCGGUGAUUCCCAGACAUCAGAAUAAAUCAAGUCUAGAAUAUAUUUACUUCUAGCAAUAGAUCUACUGAAUUUUAAUCUAUGCUGCUUACUUGUAACACAAUGCUCGCAAAAUGGUAAACUUACCGAUUUGAGCCCCGGAAGCAAUUUUCGCUCAGAGAGAAUCUUCAAGCCUUGUUCUGACAUGUGGCCGAGUUUGAGAUGCCACAUCAUCGUUGAUUCUUCUCCAUUUGACGCGACACACGCAUCAGCCUCCUGUAGUGUUUCUCCUUUAAGCAUGAAUAAAUUAGCACCAAUCUUUUCUGCCUUCAUCAAUACAAGCGCGUAUUUAAUGAUCUUCAUUAUUCCAUUCUCCACAUGAGUUUUGUACCCAUGACUAUCCAUUUGUCCCAAAGACAAUAGAUUUUUCUUCAGGCCAUUGACAUGUCUUACCUCUCCAAUUGUGCGAAUUGUACCAUCAAACAUUUUUAUUUUGAUAGUACCAAUACCAGCGAUCUCCAAGGCAUGAUCGUUACCCAUAUAUACAGAUCCUCCUGAGAUAGGUUCAUAUGUGUGGAACCAUUCUCUCCUAGAGGUCAUGUGCCAGGUAGCUCCCGAGUCUAUAAGCCAGACAUCAGAAAGUCGUUUUCUGCCUUCUGAAACAGUUGUUGCCUCACUGUAGAGAAUUUCGCCAUCAUCCGAGGUACUUGCUACACACCCCUGAGCAUUUGAUGACUCAGGUUCUUUGCCCUCUCUUUUCUUCUGGUUACUCCAACACUCCUUUUUGACGUGCCCUUUCUUGCCACAUUUGUAGCAUUUAACAUUCUUCUUACUUCUGGAUUUUGAUCUACCCUGAUUUUGACUCCCACUGGGGCCACGUUCCGUUGAUUUCCCUCUCGUCACUGAUAGCGCCUCCGCUUGCUGCGAACUUGCUUGUCUGUUUUCCUUAUUUUUCCGUCUGCUCUCCUCAUUUAAUACGGAGGCUGCAACAUCGUCGAAAACUAGACUCUCCACUGGAUUGUUGUUCGUCAGGUUGAUGAUGAGUUGAUCAUAUGAAUCUGGUAGACUUUGAAGUAGAAGCUCUGCACGUUCAUUUUCCUCUAUAUUAUGACCCAACGUUGUGAGUUGUGAAAAUAGAGUCUUCAAUGUGUUGAUGUGGUCGGUCACCAUUGUAGAUUCCGUCAUUCGAAGAGUAUAGAGUUUUCUCUUCAAGAAGAUUUUAUUGUGUAGUGACUUGGCCUCAUACAAUUUUGUGAGAGUAUCCCAUAUUUCCUUCGCUGUGUUUUUCUCUGCCACACUGGAUAAUACUCCAUCCGCAAGUGCCAAGUGUAGAUCAGAAAUGGCAUUGCCGUCUACCUCGUUCCACUUGUCAUCAGUUAUCUCCAUGGGCCUUUCUCCAAUUGCUGCCAAGCAAUUAUUUUUCCUCAAUACAGCUUUCAUCUUCAUUUUCCACAACGAAAAAUUAUUUCCGUUAAAUUUCUCAAUUUCAUACUUUGCCGCCAUUUUAUUGAUAAAUACUGUACACAAGCUAGUGUACCACCUUGAAUAGUUGUGAGUAUGUGUGAGAAUGCACACCAGGAAAGUUCCCAGGAAAGACUGGAGGGGUCACAAUGGUCCCACUUAAAACCCAGACUCCUUAAGCUCUUAUCGCCUUUGUGACAGAACUUUCCUAGACAUGUACAGAAUCACACAGUUGCUUUACUCACACCACUAUUCCCUGCUUUGCACCGUAAAAUUCUUGGAUCGCUUCCACCGUUUCACGUGAAUAGUACCGUAUACAUGAAUAGUGCCGUACACCGUAUACGUGAAUAGUGCCGUACGCCGUAUACGUGAAUAGUGCCGUACACCGUAUACGUGAAUAGUGCCGUAAGCCGUAUACGUGAAUAGUAUCGUAUGCCGUAUACGUGAAUAGUGCCGUACGCCGUAUACGUGAAUAGUGCCGUACACCGUAUACGUGAAUAGUGCCGUACGCCGUAUACGUGAAUACGUGAACAAUUCCUGACUCCAAAAAUACAACCAAUAGCUCUGAUACCACUGUUAGGAAAUUGGUGGGUGAAGCAGACACGCAGCUAAAGUAAAAUUGAUAGAAAAAUAAAGAACAAGCACAAAAGAGAAUACCAGAAAUUACGUGGUUCGGCUUUUAGCCUACGUCCACGGGCGAAGACAGAAAGAAAUAUUAUACUAGUGAAAAGGAGUUACAAGUAUUGUAGUAUUUUAGCUCACUACCCAAAACCCCAAUACACCCAAACUCUCAAAUCACUAAGCACACAAAAUUAUUUUCUCUUGCAAGAAUUACUUCUCUCAACUCUCAACUCUCUCUACAAAAAAUUGCCUCUUCAAGAUUGGAAUGAAAAAUGAGGGUGGGAAGCCCUCUUUAUAUAGCCAAAAUUUUGGCUCUUUUUUUUUUUUUUUUUUUAUUGGAGUCAUUCAACACGGCACCACCAACAAUGGCGGGCCGUGUUGAAUGUUGAAUGGUUGGCACCGGCCAUCUAGAUGGCCGGCGCCAGCCAUGACUUUCAACAUUAAUUUCAUAAUUUGGCUGUCAAAAAGUAAUCUAUCUAGAUCACGAUUUCUCAAAAUGAUGCUUUUUCUAUCUAAAUAAAUGAAAAUGCUUGUUUCUUUCUUUCUCGAAAAGAAAAAGUGGCAAUGGCAUCAAUUUUUGCUUGCAAGCACAGCGAGGAAUCAGUAUACUCUCGGAAACUAACCAUAUUAAGAGUAGAAAUAUUUAUUUGGUUAUCAUGAAGUAAGUUAGAAAUCAAUUAUAAAUGGUCUUUUUUUUAUUUUUUAAUGUGAACUAUAUAAAUUUAAGGUGAGGUUAUUUACACUUUGAAAAACAUUCUGAAAACCAUUAUUUCAUUAAAUUUUUUAUUACUAAAGGUCCGUUUGUGGCAGCUACGCUGUGGCAGCGCAGCUGUCCCACACGCUCUCUAAAAUAGCCAUGGAGUAAUUUCUUACUGAGGAUAACUAGAAUAAUAAAAUCAAUUAUCAUUCUUCCUUGAACCCGUUUCUAGAUGUAUCUUCUUCUUGAUUUGGUAACUUGGCUGUCAAAAAGAAAUCUAUCUAGAUCACGAUUCCUCAAAAUGAUGCUUUUUCGGAUGAAAUAAAUGAAAUUGAACCUACAAUCUGCCACAAACACGUUAUAAUGAGCCUAAUGAAAAGCAGUAUGAGAAAUUUUGCUUCCUUGUUGUUUCUUCCAUAUGUAACGGUAGGAAAAAGAAAUUUAAGUCCUAGAAACAAAUGGAUGAAGAAUUAUCAAUAAUUAAAAUUAAAAAAAAAACAGAGUUAUAAAAGAAUCACAGUUCCACCAAAAAUUAAGAGUUAUUUUAUUUGGUGGUUUCCUAUCCCGAAAGCAUUACUUGUAAAUAUGUGCUAACAAGUAAUAAUUAAGAAAGUUAAAGCCAAUCAUUUAGAAUGGAGAAAAAUGGAAACAUCCGGAAUAUUGUUAUGUGUUUUCAGUGCGUAUCUACCAAUCAAUAAUGAAAAAUUAAAUACGCAUGUUACGAAAAUUUAAUAAAGAGAACUGGAGUGACAAAAUUUUUAUUAUUCUAUCUUCUCUCCUCUGAAACUUCCUUAAUUUGGUUGGGAGUGCUUUGUCUUAGGCAGUGGAUCUGUUAUAAAUUCCCUAUGCUAAAGUUAAUAUUUUGAUUGAAGAAAAAAAUAGAGGAGAAAAUUUUUAUUAAAGUAUAACAGAAUUUGGUAAAUUUAGAAUUGAGGAGAGAAAAUGAGUCUAAAUUCGAAAAUUUUGGCACUAAUUACAUAUCAUUAUUUGGGCAUAAAUUCAUUUCUCUGCUUUCAUAUGAUUUGGUCUUUCAUUGUUACGGUGCCAAAUUUUUAUUUAAAGAUGUAAGAUAGUGGUACUAUAGCUUAGAUUUUCCGUAAUUACUAUAUGGUAAGUACAAAAUAAAAUACCAGUUUAAAAUAUAAAAAUGAAAAACUAUUUUUAUAACCAAUAUUCAAUUAAAUACAUUUGAAACUCUAUUUUUUCUUAAUAAAAAAAAUUCUAAUUUAUUUUCUCAAUUUAUCUAAACAACUUUACCUAAUCAAGCUAAAUCUACAUAUUACCCUAAACCUUAAUUCAUAAACACCCAAUCAAUCCAAUUGUUAAAUCCGAUUUCAUAAUUAAAAAAGCUAAAUUCUAUUUUAUUAUUUAUGGUGCAAACUAAAAAAUGCCCUUGAAGUUAAGGGUAAAAUUGAUAUUUUAUUUAAAUUUUAUUAAUAUUCUAAUAAUGUUAAUGUCUUAGUGGUUAAUAAAAUCACAAAGUCAAACUUUUGUAGUAUUUUUUAUAAUAAGGUAAAGAUAUAUGUUUGAUAAUUUUCCUACGUCUUUUUACGUUAAAUUGAGUCUCAAGGGAAAAAUGGUUAAUUUGCUACAAUUCUGUCAGUUUUCUGAUGGAAGAUAAUUUUGAAACGUAGAAUGAAAGAAUAAGUCAAAACUAGAAUCAAACGUAGAAUUUGAAAUCCAUACGAACUCUAACGUAUUAGAAUGAAAGAAUAAGGACGAUCGAUGAACUAGACUCAAACAAAAACAUGCCCAGUUAAAAACCGAAGGUAAAUAAAUAAAAAUGGUAUAAAAUUGCGAACAAAAUUAAUGAAAUGAAGAGAAAAUCACAGGAAUCCUAUGAAGAGGAAGGUAAACGAAACCUUGGGGAGCCGAGAAGAUGCCUUUUUUGUUGACGUUUGUGCCUAUACAUACAUUUUUUUUUUUAAUUUUGAAGAAAGUAUUGGUUAACAGAACGAACUAUUGAUAAUAGAUGCUGGCAAUUUCAACAAGGACAAUCUUCGAUUCAAAUGUACCCCUAUGAUAAAGAAAAAGCCAACUUGGCUAAAUUUUGAGCUCCACAUUACAAGAUCUAGGUGUAUGUUUAACUAUGCAAAAUGAAACAUCUAUUAAUUGUAAGUCCCUUGACCUCUGGAACCAGACAACUAGUCUCUUUCCUACUAGACAACCUUCCAUCGAUCAGACUAAUAAUAUUUACUAAAUCAUGUUCUACAGUUAAUGAAGUUGGACCCAAGGCAAUGUCGCAGGCCGCUCAAAUUUCCUGUAAUUGGAGGAUAAUUAUGUGCACAUGAGUUUGCUUAGCAAAAAUCCGUCUAGGCGUGGAGUGCGCUUAAAAGCGGGAUGCACUUAGAAGUGGGAUGCGCUUAGCAAAUCAUUCAAGCCCGACCCAAGAUCUAGAACUCUCUGCAAAUUAUAAAUAAGCUAAAAGUUUCUAUGUUUCUCCACAUAGUUCCCUAGGAUAUUUAUGGAAGUUGCUAGGAAGUUUCCUCCCCAAGAACUCUAAUACCUAUAAAUAGGGGUGGGCCCCUUCAUUUGCCCAUCAACCACACCACACACACAAACACUUCAGCACACACACAAGCUCUCUAGAUUUUGUAAAAAGCUCUCUUGUAUAUUCUCUCUUUGAGAGUAAUAAAAUCAUAUUCAGCCAUACUGCUCUACUUCUCUCUAGCAUUUUCCACAAGUGUUCUUGCUUCGCUAGUUUGAGGAGUGUUCUAGGCUUGCUUAGCAACUUGUUUGCUACAAGGACAUCUUGGUCACAAAACAUGGACAUGCAAGGAAAAAAAAAUAUUGAUACAUUCUAAAAAUAAUACGCAUUCUUCUACAGUGAACCAAAAAAUUUAGGCUAAUGGUAGCAAGUGAAGGAAUUGUGAUUUCACGUGCAUUUUGUUGACAUGAACCUAAAGAACUUUUUUAUAGUUUAUAUUGUUUAAUAUAACAUUUGAAUUGCAAAAUAUGGGUACAAAAUGGAUACAUGAAGUGAUAAAACUAAGCUGAUUAUGAUAAAUAUUGAAUUAUAAGAUUUACGUUUAAUCAUAAAGACAUAAGUGGCGCACAAAGUCACGAAUUAUCAUCCAUGAUGCCAUAAACAUUAAAAUUGAGGUGCAUGUAAUGGUUUUGGACUAUCGGUGUAUAUCAAGAGGUCAAUUGAAAGCACAUGGAGAUAAGUUAAAUUUUUAGAAUUCAUUGUCUCUAGAAUAUCUAUACAUACUAUAUUCUUUAGUUUUGCUUCAAUUGUUGAAAUUCCCGUAAUAAACAUGAACAACAACGGGAUUCCGAAAAUCGAAAUCAACACAAGGUCUGUAACAUUCUUUAUGUUCCAACGCUUCGAUGGCAGCAGCCACCAGCCAAUAACAAAUGAUGAUCAGCAAAAUUUCGGAGAGGCUACCAGAUUAUUAAAUAAGUUUUUGCUGUUAAUUAAGGAAUUAAUUGAACAACGUUAAAUUAUGGAGAAAAUCUUUCGUGAUGCAAACACAUGCUUUUGCCCUCCAAAUCAAACACUCACCAUUGUAGGCCCCAAUGUCGUCUUUAUAGAUUUUCCAUCUUUAUGAUAUGUGCUCUUCUUAUCAGGAAAAAAAAAAAAAAAAUUCCAGCCGCAAACAUCGCCGAAAUUUCACAUUAUUAAAUCUAAAUUCAUUCAUUUCUUGACAAGGCAUAUCUCCUGCCUCUUCAACUUGCUUCUUGCAUCUAGCCAGCUAUAUAUCAACAAAAUUUACGCCUCGAAUCCGUUCCUAUUAACUACAAAUCCAAAAUAAUAAUAAUAAUAAUAAAAAGAAAAAUCUUGAAGUAAGAGAGCGUAAAUACUAUUUUAAACAAUGUAAUCCAAUGUCAUUCUCUUAAGAACAUGAUGAAUAUUUGUUAGCACGGACAAUUUUUUUUUUUUUUAAUGAUUAUGUUGAUGUUUCCUAAAACAUUGAGGGGCAGCUUGAAAUUAACCUUUUCGAAUACCCUAAACCCUCAACCCAAAUCAGGUCCAGUUGUGUGCUAUGUUCCCUCCAUCAGUCUUAAUUUUUAUUACAGUGGUACCGUACCACUGUUGCAACAUAGCUGGACCCAUUAUAAACACUUGAAGUCAAAGUUAAUGUUUUAAUUGUUAAGAAAAGUUAGAAGAAUAAAUUUUUUUAUAAGAGAAUUGGGUUUAAAUUUAGAAUUCUUUGGAGGAAAUGAGUGUAAAUUCCAAUAAUAUAAUUCAGCACUAUUUAUAUAUAUCAUUAGUUGGGUGAAAAAUUAAUUUCUCUCCUUUGAUGUGAUUUUCAUCAUUUAUUUUCAUAUGAUGGUAAUUUUUUGUUUAGAGUGAAGUUAUUGGCACCCUUUCAUUAUCCUUAUAAAAUCAUACUUCAAAUAAAAUUAUACUUAAAGACAAUAGAAUUAAUAACAUAGUUUUUUUUCCAAACAAAUAACUCACAUUCAUAAUUUUUUUUUCUUCUAAUUUUCUACAAGUUGCUUUGUAUCUAACUAAAAUAAAUUAUACAAAUUUAGAAUAAUCUAUUAUUCUUUUUAAAUUUCUUAUUGAUUAAAUAUUUGUGUGCUUAAGAUAGCUUUAAAAUUAUAAGAUAAAAUAUAUAUAAUUUAAGCCAAUGAUUAACAUUAAAAUAUCUAUCUCUCAUAAAAGUUUUUAAUUUGUGCGUAGGAUAAUAAUAAAAUUGCAAAAGAAAUGAAAAAUAGCAUACCACUAUUUUGAGUUUAAACAAUAAAAAAUUAAAUGAAAAAUUAGAAGUGUAUUUAAAAAAAGGAUAUUUUUAAAAAUAAAAUAAAUAUAAUUUAAAAAAAAAAAGAGUUUCAUGAGGGGUGCAAUAGUUCAACUCUUCUGUUUAUAAGUUUUAAGAUGUUGGUAUCCGUGGCUUAGCUUUUCCCUAAUUAUUAUAUUAAAAUGUAACAACAAUGAUGAUCAACCCUAAUUUCAUGGAGGUCAAAGAUUUUGGUCAUGCCGCAUUAAUUAGUUCAGUCAUACUUUCUACAAAUUUAUUUACAUUUAAUAAUUUGACCAAGACUAGGUAAGGUGCCGCCUGGAGUCAUAGAAUUUUUUAUGUCAAAAGCGCGUUUCACUUCAAUUAAGCCAUAAAUGUCGUUUAAUAUGCUCAUUUUGUUUUUUUUUUUUAAAGUUUUAUUAAUUUUUUUUGUUUUUAAAAUAUCAUUUAUUUAUUUUUUAAUUUUUUUUAAAGGUAAAGAAGUGGGUAAAGUUCAAAUUCAAUUUUUAUUCCUUACGCCAUGGCCCCUAAAAUUUGAACUUAGGUGACCAAAUGUAUAAUAAUAGGCAUCUCAAAUUUCAUUUCUAAUGAUAUGCAAUUUAUUAAGAGAUUCUGUUAGAGUGCAAUUUAUGCACUAGUUUUGCAUUGUUUACUUCCCUUAAUAUCGAUGUUUUGCACUUAAUAAUAGUGAUUUACUUGUGUUUUACUUUUGUAGGUGCAAUUCUAUUGAUUGGUGAUAAAAUUGAGCUAUAAGAUGAUGUUUAAGGAUGAUUGUUCUCUUGGAGAAAUUAUGAGCGGCAGAAGAACUUUGUUGAUAAGGCGUGGGCGCGUGCUGUCAACUGCGGACCUGCAGUUUUUAGUUUAACGUGUUUUGCAUUUUUGGUUAUUUUUGUAAUUACGAAUUUAAUAUUUCAGAUAUUAGUAUUUUAUUUUAAAUAGAAUUCUAAAAGAGAGGAGAGAGAGAGUAUUUAAGGGAGGAAUCUAUUGUGAAAAUAGGGGAAUGGGGAGAAAAGAAAGAAACCCUAAAUCUUAAUUUUUCUCUUCUCUCUAUGAAAAACUAAACUUAUUUUUCUGGUUGAAGGAUAAUGAAGCUUUGAUUCAUCACUACUGUGAGAUCUUUCUUGUGCUUUAAUUGUUUUAUUGCUUUUUGGGUAUUUGUUUAUUCUCUGAAUUAUUUUCAUGAUUAUGUUUGUUAAUUAGGUAAUUGACCACUAUUUAAUUAUCAACUUAAUCUAUUGUCAAUUAAAGGAUUCAUCGUAUGAAGAAUUUAAUGUUUGUGACAAAUAACAUAGUAGAGAGUUGUAUUGUGAGAAUAAAUAAUCUAAUUUAAAUUAAUCAUCAUAUGUAUUGAUUAGGAUUUGGGUCUCUCUGGUUUUUCAGGCUGUCAAUUGAUUAAAUCAUAUGAUCGUAUCUAGGGUUGUCUAUUGAUUAGGGAAAUAUCCAACGGUCGUACCUUGGUUAUCGACUAGUUAAGGAGAGAUUGGCUAUUAGAGGGUCUCAAUAGCUAUAACCGGUCUAUUCAUAAGUAAUAAUAAUCUAUAUUUGAAUCAAUGAUCAGUAGUCGAAUCAAGCUGAGUUAAUUCCUUCAACCAGAGCUUUCUCCAAUUUGAAUUACAACUUUAAUUUACAUUCUUGUUAUUUUAAUUUGAUUUUUAUUAUUAUCAACAAUUUCCCCAUUUUACGUUUUACGUUUCAAAAGGAUUUAAAUAAUUACCGAUCUCUGUGGACACGACCCUACUCAAUCACUAUACACAAUUUAUUUAGAGUAGGAAUUUAUUUUUGUUGGCUUCGACAACCAUCAAAUUUUGGCGCCGUUGCCGGGGAUUGGUGUCGUUUAUUUAAUCCUUUUUACGUUUUACUUGGUGUAUGGUUCGUUCUUCUUGUACAGGUACACUUUCAUUUGAUCCUGAAAUUGAGAAGACAGCUCACCAGCUGAGACAGCAGACGAAGCGAGCUUAGCAACGAUCCUCGUCGCCUUUGCUUUCUGAAACAGAUACGGUGUCUGAUUUAGUUGAAUCAUCUAGCGAUUCGGAAGAACAAGUGAUGGAUAGAGCUGCACCUGUAGAAAGAACUCUUAGAGAGUUAACUGAACCAGACUUGAAUCAGCAACCACUCUGCAUUCAAUAUGUAGACUUAGAGGUAAAUUUUGAAUUAAAGUCCGGUCUUAUUCAUUUAUUACCCAAGUUUCAUGGUUUUGCAGGUGAAGAUCCUCAUAAACAUCUUAAGGAGUUUCAUGUUGUGUGUUCAAGUAUGAGACCACAAGGUGUGACUAAAGAGCAGAUUAAGCUGCGUGCUUUUCCGUUCUCUUUAGAUGGGUUAGCUAAAGAUUGGUUGUACUACUUGCCUCCUGGAUCGAUUACAACGUGGAAUGGUUGAAGAAGCAGUUCCUCGAGAAGUACUUUCCUGCUUCAAGAGCAGCUAACAUCAGAAAAGACAUUUGUGGGAUCAGACAACUUCCUGGGGAGACUUUGUAUGAGUAUUGGGAGCGAUUCAAACAAUUGUGUGCCAGCUGUCCUUAGCAUCAGAUUUCUGAUCAACUUCUUAUUCAAUAUUUUUACGAAGGACUAUCAUUGAUGGAUAGGAGUAUGAUAGAUGCUGCUAGUGGAGGCGUGUUGGUGAACAAGACCCCUACUCAAGCAAGGGAGCUGAUAUCAAAUAUGGCUGUCAACGCACAACAAUUUGGCAGCAGGUAAGAUCUCACUUCAAGGAAGGUGAAUGAGGUAAAUAUUUCUUCUGUUGAACAACGUUUAAAUAAACUUACUUCUCUUGUGGAAAAGUUUGUUGUAGGUAAUGUGCAAUAGGUGAAGACUUGUGGCAUUUGUUACAAUAUGGGUCAUUCAACUGAUAUGUGUCCUACACUUCAAGAAGAACCCGUUGAACAAGCCAAUGCAGUUGGAGAAUUUCCAGGCAUGCCUCAGAGGAGGUAUGAUCCUUAUGCACAAACAUACAAUCCGGGAUGGAAGGAUCACCCCAACUUCAGCUAUGGAGUUAGGCCGUCAGGAUUCCCACAACAGUAUCCACCAAGACAACCAGCACCUCCACAGUCAAACUCCAAGUCAGGUAUAUCUCUUGAAGAAAUUGUUAAAUCACUUGCGACUAACACUCAACAAUUUCAGCAGGCAACUACAGCAAGCAUUCAGAAUUUGGAGAACCAAAUGAGUCAAUUGGCGACUACAGUGAGUCGUCUGGAGUCUCAAGUAUUAGGGAGAUUGCCUUCACAAUCUGAGGUGAAUCCAAAGCAAAACGUUAGUGCUGUCAUCCUUAGAAGUGGAAAAGAGUUACAAGAGCCUAGUAAGAAAGUGACAAAGCAUGUAGAAGAUGAGCUUGAGAAGAAUGAAUUGAUGCCUAAAUCUCAAGAUGCGCAACCCACCAGAGCGAAACCCUUACCUAUUGUGAUACCUCCUCCUUUUCCAAGCCGGUUUGCAAAAUCCAAGAAGGAGGAACAAGAGAAAGACAUCCUUGAGACAUUUCGCAAGGUUGGGGUAAAUAUUCCUUUAUUAGAUGUUAUAAAACAAAUACCUCGAUAUGCUAAAGUCCUUAAGGAACUGUGCACCUCUAAGAAAAAAUUAAGAGGAGAUGAAAAAGUUCACAUGAGGGAGAAUUUUUCAGCAAUUCUUCAAAAAAAACUACCUCCUAAGUGCAAGGAUCCAGGUAUGUUUACUAUCCCUUGUAAAAUUGGUAGUGUUAGAAUUGAAAAGGCUUUGUUAGAUCUAGGAGCUUCUAUUAAUGUCAUGCUUCGUUCCAUUUAUUCAUCUUUGAAUGUUGGUCCAUUAAAAGAAACUGGCGUGAUAAUUCAACUAACUGAUAGGUCUAAUGCAUAUCCUGAUGGGGUAUUAGAAGAUGUCUUAGUACAAGUUAAUGAGUUGGUUUUUCCUACUGAUUUUUAUGUACUUGAUAUGGAAGAUGAUAACUCUUCUAAUUCUGUCCCAAUUUUACUAGGAAGACCUUUUCUUAAGACUGCUAGGACUAAAAUGGAUGUACAUAAAUGGACUCUCACUAUGGAGUUUGAUGGAGAGGUUAUAGAAUUCAAUAUGAAUGAUGCCAUGAAAUAUCCUAGUGAGGAACAUUCAGUAUUUUCUGUGGAUGUUAUUAACCCUAUAGUGCAGGAAGUUUUUUACAAGAAAAAGACGAAGACAUUUCAUGAUAGAAUGAUUUUGAGAAAUGAGUUCUCUAUUGGUCAAAAAGUUCUUCUUUUUCAUUCUAAGCUUAAACUUUUUCCGGGUAAAUUACGUUCUUGCUGGGUUGGACCUUUUAUUGUUACUAAUGUUUUUCCUCAUAGUGCAGUUGAGAUUCGAAGUCCGACCUCUGACAAAGUUUUUAAGGUUAACGGCCAUCGCUUAAAACCUUUUUAUGAAGGUUUUUCGGUGAAUAUUGUGGAGGAUGUGGCUCUCGAGAGUCUUAAUUAUGGAGAUUGAUGCAUAAAUGUGUCUAGCCAAAGACAUAAAACAAAGGCGCUUUUUGGGAGGCAACCCAAAUGAUUUAUUUAUUUUGGUUUUUGUUAUAUCUUCUUUUAAUUUUGAUUCAGAUUUUUUUUUUAAAUAAUGUGUUUGCUUAUUUUGGCCAGAAGAAAAUGUUUGAUAAGGCGUGCCCACGUCCUAACUAAAAAGUACUUCUGUAAUUUUUAAAGUAAAAUAGUUUUAAGGCGUGCCCACGUGCUUAUUAAAAAAGUACUUCUGAAAUUUUUAGUGUCUCAAAGUGAUUCAUCACAAAAAAAAAUAUAAAAAAAAAUUUAUUUAUUUUAUUUUAUUUAUUUUAAAAAAACGAAAAAAAAAGAGAUUUUCUUUUGUUCUUUCUUUUAUAUAUUUAUUUAUUUAUUUAUAAAAAAAAUUCAAAAAUCACUGAAACAUCACUACAACUACAGGUCUUUAUGUGUCAAUGAACUGCAGAAGCUAAUGAUCUACUUGUAGUAGACUUCUAUUGCCCCUGCCGUUCUAGGAAGACAAACAAGUUCAGGAACUACUUCUGGACCAAACUCAUAAUAUUGCCACUGCUUUGUGCCAAUCUCAGAGGGAAAGAAGAUUGAAGUUCCUAAAUAAGGCACAUCAUGAUUUGAUAGAAGUACCACUAUAAGGAAAAAUUGAUUUCAGGAAAGCACUAAAUUAUGACAUAAUCUCCCCCUAAUGGUCUAAAGUAGUCAAGAAAUGAUAUUAACCAAGUAAAAACACAUAAACUAGUUGAGAUACAAAGUUAUCAUAAAAGUCAAUUUUGAUCACAAAUCCAUUAAAAUUAAAAGUCAUCAGAAACUUAGAGAAAAUUAUAAUUUAGCACUCAGCUAAAUUGCAGAUUCUGUAACUGACAGCUAAGUCCACAUUGGCCUUGCAUCAGCUGAGUUUGGGUUGCUUUUCCUCUCUCCUGCAACGCGUGGAAGCUCCCCAUUUGCUGUGUUAUACAGAGUCGGUACCGUAGCAAGCUCUUAUAAUUUAAGUUUGAUCACUGUAGACAAUAGUCUGCCUCUGCUCAAAAGCUAUGCUGCAAGAUAUAACAUCUUUGCAAUGUUAUACUUUCUAAAAGUAAUAAGAAAUGGAACCAAGGGGUAAAUCGAACACCAAAAGAAAUUUAGUCGGCCAACCACAUUAUGUCCCACACAGUCCACUAAUUAAGUUAAUAAUUAAAGGGAAUCAAAAUCUAAGAAAUCUCAUCUUCAAGCAGAAUACAAACACACCGCGAUUGAAAAUCACAAAAUCAUAAAAAGAAGCUGACUUGAAAAGCUCAAAUAUACGUCCAUCAGCCUCUCAACUUAUAUCUAAAAACAAAUGCCUGCAGCUUGUGAAGACAUAGAUAAUUGAAGCUGACGAGGCACAUUUAACAUAUGAUAAUCAAAACUCGUGUGAUUAAAAUUAUAAUUCAAUAAUUGAGCACAAAAAACAAGAAGUAACUAGUUGUAAUAUACCAAACAACUUUCUGAAGUUAAGGCGUAAAACAACAACGCAGAACAAAUUAAUUAAAUAUACCAGCACCAAUACUCUUAUUAUUAUCCAAAUAUAGAAGACCAAUGUAUCAAACAAGGAAAAUGAAAUAUUGUUAAUAAAUAAAAAACAACUAGUGUCAAGAACUAAAGUAAUAAGUAAAACCCAUAAUCAGACACGACCACAUCCAAAUCUCUGAAAAUUGAGGUCUAAACAUUGAAAAUAAUUAGACAUAUAUAGCAGUCAAUCGAAACAAAGCCUCAAAAUAAUAAUGAAAAUAAGACAGAAACUAAAUUGUAAACAACAGCAUACCCAGUGUUGAGUGUUAGAAAAUGCAUAUUUAUAAAGGAGAAAACCGUCAUUUUACAUUUUAAGUCUUACUAACAACCCUUACUGUUAUAUAUUUAACCUUCUUGUGAUUUAAUUACAUGUGUUUUAUUUUAAUUAAGUAUUUUAUGUAUUUUAGGGGCAUUAUAGUCAUUUCACAAUAAAGGAGAGAUCAGACGGCAAAACGGACAUCACUUUUGAACUCAGGACGGUCGAAAACCUUAGGAGGAGCAUAAAAGGAAAAUGGCACUAUUCACAUGUACGGUAUUAUUCACGUGUACGGUACUGUAUACGUUACUGUUCACGACACUGUUCACAUAAACGGAUGAUGACGUGGCAUUGACCGAUGAUGUGGCAUUGACUGAUGAGGUGUCACGAUCCUGUUGGACUAAAAUUCUUAUGCACUGUUGAUGGUGACGUGGCAGCAUAUCAGUGGACGAAAAAUCUCGCGUACGGUGCAUGCAUCACACAGGAUUAUUUUCAACCAAACCGCGUUACUGUUCAUCCGGGUCAAACCGCGUUACUGUUCAAAGUCGGGUCAAACCGUGUUACUGUUCAUCCGCGUGGUCAAACCGUGGACUGUUGACUGAUGACGUGGCGCAAUCCUGAGCGUCCAAACUGUUUUUAAUCCGAUGGCCAUGAUUUACUCCAUGUAUCUAUAAAAAGGGGGCCUCCCCCCCCUAAUUUGAUAUCUCUGAAUCCAUUUUUGGGAUCCAUUUUCUGUAAUUCUCUCUCCAUCUUGUAUUUUCUAUGUAUUUUAAUAAAUUCCCAUUUUGCCCCUAGUUCAAUUAUGAGUGGCUAAUUUUCUUUCAAGCUUGGGUUGAAGGUGAAGUCUCAACAUGUGUCAUGGGCUUAAUUUGGUAAAUUUACUUUCUCUUCCCCUCUAGUUUUUGUGGAUGUUUUGACUUCUCGUCGACAAAUAAUACUAAUCUUGUCUAGUACCGCCUUGGUUACACCGGCUCUCUAGUAUAAGGUUAUUAUUAUUUGGCACGAUAAGCCCUUAGCACCAUAUUGAUUAGAGCGUGGUUCAUGAGGUGUGGAUUCCCCCCUCAUGAUUUAAUUGGCAUUAAUACGGAUUAUUUAGCCCAUGAUGCAUGUUGAUACGGAUCCGGAUACCCAAGUACGUCAUUUCAAUAGAAUUCUCUUCAAUUUCUUCUCGCCAUUUCAAUACCAAUUUUAGAAUUUAUUCUCGCCAUUUUAAUUUAAGUUGUAGCAUAUUUCAAAUCAUUUCCACCAUAAUUCCAACCACCCAUUUACAAAAUUAAUUCUAUAUAUAAUUAAAAUCCACCUCCUCGUGGGAUCGACACUCGUCACCAUUGAUCUACACUACAAUAGAUUCGUGCGCUUGCGAGUACAUUAAAAUUUGCACAACAAGUUUUUGGCGCCGUUGCCGGGGAGGUAAGUAAUUUUAAUUCAUAGAAUUAAUUUUUGUGAAUAAUUUCUUUUUCUAUUAAAAAAAAGAAAAAGAAAAAAAAAGUGAAUCUACAUAUAAAGGUUAGUAUUUCUUUUCUUUUUCUCUUCUUUAAAAUUUUGUAAUUUAAUUUUCAAUUUAUUUAUUUUUUCUUUGUAAUUUUUGUUUAUUUUAUUAAUUUAAUUUUUUUUCACGUAUUUAUUUUUGUGUAUUUUUAUAGAAAGGUUGUAAUAGCGCAAUAAGGUUAGUAUUGUAAUUUCUCUCUCUUCUUUAUUUUAUUUGUAUUUAUUUUGUUCCAUCUUCAUUUUCAUUUUAUUUAUUUUGCAUGCAUGGUCGUAGGUCAUUAUUACCUAAUCUUGAACCUAUAGACCUUGAACUUGAGAAAACAAUUCGCACACAAAAGCACAUUAAAAAUAAAUUUGGAAUGGAUUUACAAGCACCACAGGAGAGGCCAUUUAAGGACUAUUUUAGUCCCUUAGCUAAUUUGAGCACAUCAUGCAUAAGAUACCCAAAUGUAGCUGCUAGGAGCUUUGAACUAAAACCUAGUGUGCUAAAUUGUCUCCCCACAUUCUAUGGCUUAGAAAAUGAGGACCCAUAUAAUCAUUUGAAUGAUUUUCAUGCUAUUUGUCAAACAUUUAAAUAUGAGAAUUUUUCAGACGAUGAUGUUAAACUCAGAUUAUUCCCAUUUUCUUUAAAGGAUAGAGCUCGUUCAUGGCUUAAUACAUUGCCUGCUAAUAGCAUUUCAUCAUGGGAACAAAUGGUAACAAAAUUUUUGAAUAAAUAUUUCCCAGUGCAUAAAACCAAUGCUAUUCGCAGGGAAAUCUCGGAGUUUACCCAAAGAGAGGACGAGCAGUUUUUAGAAUUUAUUCUCGCCAUUUCAAAACCAAUUUUAGAAUUUAUUCUCGCCAUUUUAAUUUAAGUUGUAGCAUAUUUCAAAUCAUUUCCACCAUAAUUCCAACCACCCAUUUACAAAAUUAAUUCUAUAUAUAAUUAAAAUCCACCUCCUCGUGGGAUCGACACUCGUCACCAUUGAUCUACACUACAAUAGAUUCGUGCGCUUGCGAGUACAUUAAAAUUUGCACAACACCCAGUAACAGUAAUCAAGUAAAAAGUCAAAACCAGAAUCAAACGUAGAAUUUUGAAAUCCAUACGAACUCUAAUGUAUUAGAGUGAAAGAAUAAGGACGAUCGAUAAACUAGACUCAAACAAAAACAUGCCUAGUUAAAAAAUGAAGAUAAAUAAAUAAAAAUGGUAUAAAACUGUGAAAAAAAUUAAUGAAAUGAAGAGAAAAUCACAGGAAUCCUAUGAAGAGGAAGGUAAACAAAACCUUUGGGAGCCAAGAAGAUGCCUUUUUUGUUGACGUUUGUGCCUAUACAUGCAUUUUUUUUUUUUUUGUAAUUUUGAAGAAAGUAUUGGUUAAUAUUGUCAGAACGAAAUAUUAAAAAUAGAUGCUGGCAAUUUCAACAAGGACAAUCUUCGACUCAAAUGUACCCCUAUGAUAAAGAAAAAGCCAGCUUGGCUAAAUUUUGAGCACCACAUUACAAGAUCUAGGUGUAUGUUUAACUAUGCAAAAUGAAACAUCUAUUAAUUGUAAGUCCCUUGACCUCUGGAACCAGCCAACCGAUCUCUUUCCUACUAGACAACCUUCCAUCGAUCAGACUAAUAAUAUUUACUAAAUCAUGUUCUACAGUUAAUGAAGUUGGACCCAAGGCAAGUGUUAGCUUAAUGUCAUAGGCCGCUCAAAUUUCCUGUAAUUGGAGGAUAAUUAUGUGCACAUGAGUUCGCUUAACAAAAGUCCGCCUAGGCGUGGAGUGCACUUAAAAGUGGGAUGCGCUUAGCAAAUCAUCCAAGCCCAACCCGAGAUCUAGAGCUCUCUGCAAAUUAUAAAUAUGCUAAAAGUUUUUAUGUUUCUCCACGUAGGUCCCUAGGAUAUUUAUGGAAGUUGCUAGGAAGUUUCCUCCCCUAGAACUCUAAUACCUAUAAAUAGGGGUGGGCCGCUUCAUUUGCCCACCAACCACACCGCACACACAAACACUCCAGCACACACACAAGCUCUCUAGCUUUUGUAAAAAGCUCUCUUGUAUAUUCUCUUUUUGUGAGUAAUAAAAUCAUAUUAAGCUAUAUUGCUCUACUUCUCUCUAGCAUUUUCCGCAAGUGUUCUUGCUUCGCUACUUUGAGGAGUGAUCUAGGCUUGCUUAGCAACUUGUUUGCUACAAGGACAUCUUGGUCACAAAACAUGGACAUGCAAGGAAAAAAAUAUAUUGAUACGUUCUAAAAAUAAUAUGCAUUCUUCUCCAGUGAACCAAAAAAUUUAGGCUAAUGGUAGCAAGUGAAGGAAUUGUGAUUUCACGUGCAUUUUGUUGACAUGAAGGUAAAGAACUUUUUAUAGUUUAUAUUGUUCAAUAUAAUAUUUGAAUUGCAAAAUAGGGGUACAAAAUAGAUACACGAAGAGAUAAAACUAAUCUGAUUAUGAUAAAUAUUGAAUUAUAAGAUUUAGGUUCCCAGCUACAAAGNNNNNNNNNNNNNNNNNNNNNNNNNNNNNNNNNNNNNNNNNNNNNNNNNNNNNNNNNNNNNNNNNNNNNNNNNNNNNNNNNNNNNNNNNNNNNNNNNNNNCACAAAGUCACGAAUUGAUAUCAUCCACGAUGCAAGUUCAAACAACUGCAUAAUAAGUUGCCCCAAGCUAAACUAUUAAUCUAAUAACUACUCCAGUCGAUGUGGGAUAAUUUUCCUAUCACCAUAUAUCACAUGCAAGCCGAAUUUGUUGCUUGGUUCUUACAUGUGGUAAGGUAAUAUGAACCCACUUGUGCAUAAAUUUGGCUCCAAUAUUAUAUAGAAGCUUAUGACCCAAAAUUAUACUUAAAGGUUAUUUCAAGAUUUGAAGGUUGCCUCAAGCUAAUAUUAUUAUUAGCCUGGUAACCCUUUUUUUUUUUGUUGAUAUGUGAUAUUUUCCCUAUAACUUUUUAUUAAUCUUUAUGCUUAUGUUUUGUCAUUUAUCCCAAAAUAUAACAUUAACAAAAGUUCCAAAAUUUCCUUCAAGAGAUAUAUUUGAGACAAGUAAUUUGUGCAAUAACUUUGUGAAUUGAUGAGCAAAUUCAGAGAAAAGAAUAUAUGUGCCAAACGUAACGUUUAUUAUUGUGUUUAUUUGUAGAGCUAUUUAAAGCCUAAAAAAAAAGCACCGGUCCGCUAUUAUUUCAAAUAAGUUCAAGCCCUAUGUCAUUAUUGCUACAAAAAUGUAUUAGAAUGGUUAAAAACUAUCUUUAUUUAACUUGUAAACUUAGGAAAUUAUCAACUGUCCACCCUUAAAUUGCACUGUUAUAAAAAAUAUUACAACAUUUUCAGGUUGUAUCAUUCAUCUACCAUAAAUUUACAAUCUGCAUCAUUUAUCCACCAAAUCAUUAAUUUUGUUAAAAAGUGAUAGAUGUCUCAGGGGUAAUUUAGACAUUUAACACACAAAAAAAACUAAAAGAGAAAUUAUCUAAGCUUACCAUGUUAUCAAAAUUGCUACAAAAUUUUAAAUUUGUUCAAUUUUCCAAUCUAAGUUUAUGACCUCCAAGAUGUCAAUUGCAGUUUGUAAUUAAUGAGUUCAUAAGGAUAAUUUAGUCACUCAAUAUGCAAAAUAAAAAAUAAAAUAAUGGCUUAAAACAUUAAAACAAAAAAACUACUUUUUAUAAUUGAUAUUCAAUAAUACACAUAAACUCUAUUUUUUCUUAAUUAAAAAUAUUCUAAUUUAUUUUCUCAAUUUAUCAUCAUAAAUUUAUAUUAAUAAACUAAAUCCACAAAUUACCCUAAACCCUAAUUCAUAAAUGCCCAAUCAAUCUAAUAGUUUAAUUCGAUUUCAUAAUUAAAAAAGCUAAAUUUAUUAUAUUAGUUAUGGUGCAAAGUCAAAAAUGCCCUUAAAUUCAAGGGUAAAAUAACAUUUUAUUUAAAUUCUAUAAAUUAUCCUAACAAUGUUAACAUUUUGGUGGACGGUUAAUAUAAGUUACAAACUUAAAAUAGAAAAUCAAAUAAAUUCAAAUUUUCAAACUAUUUAGGGCAAAUUUAGGACAUAUGGUUAAUAAUUUUCCCAUAUCUUUUUACAUUGGUUGGUAUAAGUUACAAACUUAAAAUAGAAAAUCAAAUAAAUUUAUAUUUUCAAACUAUUUAGGGCAAACUUAGGGUAUAUGGUUAAUAAUUUUCCUUUGUCUUUUUACGUUAAAUUGAGUUUCAAAGGUAAAAUGGUUAAUUUAUUAUAAUUCUGUUAAUUUUUUAGUGGAAGCAAACGAUAUAAUGGAUGAAUGAUAUAAGUUGUAAAAUUAAGGUGCAUGAAUGAUACAACUUUAAAGUAUUGUAGUAAUUUUAAUAAUAGAACAAUUUAAGAGUGGAUUGGCAAUAAUUUAAACUUUGAUGAAGCAACUAAAAAAAAAUUUUAACAAAAGAAAAAUAAUUGAAAUGCUUUAAGAAAAAUAAAGGAAAUUAAAUAUCUUUAUAAAAACAUAAUUGAGUAAAAUCAUUUUACAAAAUGCUCUUUCAAAUGCACAUUCCACAAGCCAGGGAGAACGGGUGACUAACAAAAAUCUCACUUUUUAUGAGUUUAUAAAAUCUCAUUUUUCGCAGAAUAAAAAAAUAACCAAUACUAAUCACAUAAAAAAUAAAAAUUAUUCACGACAUUACGCACUUUCUUCGCUGUCUAGAAAGGUAGAACAUUUUGAAGUUUCUCAAUACAAAAGGCGUGCUACUACUAAAUUGGCCCAAUUAAUGCCCAUCGAAAAGGCCAUCAAUUUAGCCAUCAAUUUUGUCAAAAUUUCAACAAUUGAAGAAACAUUGAUCACAAACGGAACAGGUGAAUUUUGAAGUUGAAUAAAUCUUGAGAUACAUACAACAAAGCCUUGAAACUUUAUUCUUCACAAUUUGAGCACGCACUAAAUAUUAAACAAGUAUAGAACAAAGCUUAUUUUUAGCUUCUUGUGCGAACAGUACACGCUGAAAUGUGUUUUUUUUUUUUUGGAUUUUUGGAAUUUUUUAAAAUCAUUUAUGUUCGCUGCCAUCUUUUUCUUCGCUGGCGUCUUCAUUGGCAUCUCUCUCUUGGCUAGCAUCUGCCACGUCUGUAGUUUGCUGUGCCUAUAUAUCCAACCAAUUAAUUGGGCAUUAAAUACGAAUGAUCAAUAAAAUAAUAAAAAAAAACAAACAGAGAAAAUUAUAACAUUAAAACAGAAAUUUUGAUUUAGGAUAGAUCAAUUAGCUAUCACAAACGAAAACAUAAACCAACUAUGUACAGAGUCAAUUAACUAAAGUUCUCAAGAGUUGACCUGUGCUCCAGAAUUCUUGGAAUCAUCUAUCUCCUUCUGAAUUUCCACGAAGCUUGGGACAAUUAUAAACAACUCCGUCGAAUGCAGAUGGAAAUGGGAUCCGAUAACCCGCAGGCCAAAAGUUGGUGAGGUUUGGUAAAUCUAACAGUCUAAACCCCUGAAGUGCAUUCAUAACAAUUUCAUUGUACUCCGUGACGUGUGCUCCAUCUUUAUGCCAGAAUACUUCUUCUAAUUCAUCAUUAGCUGCUAUAGAUAUGUGCUUCAGUUUUUGAAGACUUGGAGCUACGCUGAUAUGAAAUAGAUGCUUUAGUUUGGGGCAACCACAGACAGUGAUGCUUGUGAGUUUUGGGAAACAUAGGGGUUGGAGAUGAUCCUCAUCCUCAUCCUCAUCAAUGAUUUGCUCUAAUUCCCGACAAUUAUAAAUUUCCAACUCCUUCAAUUGCAACAGAUUUCGAGCAAGUGUUGAUGAGAGGAGACGUCUCAGCGUAGUGCACCCGUCCACUCUUAAAUUGAUAAGACUUUGCAGGCUAAAAUUAUGAGUGGGACCUUCAUGAUAUAAUACUCGCAGUUCUCGAAGAUAUUCUAAGUUCAACUUCUUCAAACAUGGGAAAAGUUUGUUUUCUUGUCCAUCAGCGAUAAUAGCUUCCAACUGAAAUACCACUUGUACUCCAAUUGUGAUAAUAUUCAAUUCUUCCAAAUUUUUUAAACCAUGCUUCAACAGUGCUGGAAUCGUGUCACUCAAAUGGGAACAACUUCCCACUUCUAGAAUUCGUAAGUUCUGAGACAAAUAAAUAAAUAACUUGAUGCAAUUAAAAUCUAUUAGCAGCUAGGAUUAUCACAUGAUAAGUGAUGAACACCGCAAAAAACAAAAACAGAAAACAAAAUCCAUACAAAAAUAUCAUAAUACAUAUGUAAACUAAUAAAAUAAUUAAAAAGUAAUGGAUUUAAAAAAAUGAAAUUAGUUAAAAGAGAUCAUGUGAAGUGAUAUAAAUAUGACAUUAGAUUGUUUUAGAAAAAUUAUUAUUCUAUUAAUUUAUAUGGCUUGAUCAACUAUUUAAUUAAAUUUGAGUAAUAUUACAUACACUUCAGAAGUGUUUGCAUCAAUUCUUUCUAAACCAAAAUGAGAUAUGACUUUCAUUUGAAAAAUGAUUUUAGGCCCUAAAAUAAAGAAAUUUUCCUAAGAUAUUUGAGCAUUAUGAUUAUCAUUUUCCUAAGAUAUUGCUAAACUAUCAUUUUGAGUAAAAUUGAAUGAAAAGAAAAAACAUGAACCCAAACAAACAUACCUCUUUGAGAUACUGCAAAUUGGCUUCAAGUUCAUUACUGUUGAUGGUCAAGUUGGGACAGCAAUCAAGCUUUAACUCUUCCAAUGCUGUCCAAAUUGAACAAUAAUUCUCUGAACAGAACUUGGUGAGUUCUGGGAGACCUUCAAGUUUUAAUUUUCUCAACAAAGGGAGGGCGAGCAUCGUAUUUCCAUCUCCGACACUUAUUUCCCCUUCAUUAUGAUCAAACUUUGCUUCGACAAUAUAUUCCAGUCUCUCGCAUUCACUUACAUAGAGACUUUUAAGCUGCUCCAAACUUCUAGCUUGUGACAACGUGAAGAUAUAUGUCAACUUCUUGCACCUAUGCACAUUCAAUUUUGUAAGAGUUUGGAGACUGAUCACAUGUUGGGCGGGCGCCUUCCAUAUCCACUUCAGUUCUGGUAAGUCCCACAUAGAUAACUCUGCUAAUCUUGAGAGACUCUUUCCAUGCGGGGACUUAGAGGCUUCCAUUAUGCAUUCUAAAUCUUCGCAAUCGCCGACAUUAAGACAAGUCAACUCAUUUAAGCCCCUUUCAUCUAUGCUUGGCACAAUAUUGUAACAACCUAUAAUCCCACUUAAAUAAAGAAUUUUCAGUUCCUGAUACAAUGCUGAAAAAAUACCGAGCGAGGUCGCCGCUUCAUGAGGGCAAUUCUCAAUGAUUAAUUUCCUUGUCUCAUCACCAUCUUCCAUUUCAACAUCAACUCCUUCACCUUUACAGAUGACGUACCUUUGCAAUUUCGGGAAUGUAAAGUCUUUUGGAAGACAUACAACAGAUCCGUCGGCUUGGGAGUUCAACUCAGCAUUACUUUCUUCUGAACUCAUCCCUUCAACCUCCCAAUCUUUUAUGCAACCAUAAAAUUCUUCUAAUUGAGGAAAUUUUUUUAUCGUAAUAGGAGAAACAGAACUGGUAUCAAUAUAUAGAAGUUUCAAUCUACUACGUUUAUCCCCCAAUUCUUCUGGAAUUUUAAUGGGAGACUUCUUGAGAAAAAUAAUUUGAAGCCUCUUCAACUUUCCAAGCAAAGACGCAUCACUCACCUCACAUCGAAUCAACUGCAGAACCUGGAGGUCGGUGAGGAUCUGAAGCGAUUUAAGUGAAAGAACUCCACCUAUUAUAGUGACAACUUUCAAUGCUGGCAUCCCUUCGAAAAAAUGUUCUGGAACAUGCAAUCGGUGGUCGUAUUCAGGAUUCUCCAAUCGCAAAAUAUGAAGGUUAGGGCAUACCAAACCACUAGGAAGCUCUUCUCUUUUAUUUCCCACCAAAGAGAUUCCUCUGUAUUGUUCCAGGCCUUCUUUCAUUGCCCGUUCUGCCAAUCCAAUGCCAACUUUACUAAAAAAUUUCUUCUCCUCUAGAACUAUUGAGCCUAUCCAUAUGGCUACAUCACGAACUAUGUCAUGCAUUUUCACAUAUCUGUCAUUACCAGUGUCUAACAGCAGUGACGCAGCUUUGAGCGCGUUAAUCGUUCCAUGCAGUCGGCUUCUGGCGUUUUCUAUUGACGGAUCACAUUGAUACCAAAUAACCCCCACUGCGUAUCCAACCAAAUCCUCCAAAUAAAUCUCAUAAUCUUCUGGAAACAGAGAACACAACAAGAAGCAUAACUUGGACUCCUCACUAUUUAAAUUGUCGUAACUGAAUUUGAGACAACCGUAAACGUCUUGGUCAUCCUUGUCAAUACCUUCUAUUGCAUAGAGUUUUGCUUCCCUUAGGUUAUAUAGUGCUAGAUUCCAAUCAUCAAAUCCUUUUUCCCUUAGUGCACUUCCAACAGCUUCAAUAGCUAAAGGCAGCCCCUUACAUUCGUCAGCAACUUGUUUUGAAACACCAUCCAAGGAGGAGUCGUUUACAUUAAUACGGGCAUUCAUUUUUAGGAGAGUCAAUCCUUCUUCUGGUGUUAGUGUACCAAGUUCAAUCUGUGGGUAACAACCGAAAAAACCACAAAUUGACUUUUUGCGAGUGGUUAGAAGGAUUUUGCAACAACUGUCUCUAUCACCAAUGGGAAUACCUAAUUUUUUCUCCAAGUCGAAUUGUUUCCAAACAUCAUCAAGGAUUAUGAGGAUUUUGCUGCCUUUACUCUCAGAAAACAUCAACCGCAAUCGAUCUGCUCUCUCUUUUUCAUCUGUCUCAUAUAACGCCCAGCCUAACGACUUUGCCAGCUCACCUUGAACCUUUAUUAUAUCUGGAUCCUGAGACAUAGUGGCUAUCCCCACCUUAUCGAAAUCCUUUUGUUGCCGAAGUUGAUUGCCCACAAAUUUUGCCAGGGUUGUCUUUCCUACACCACCGAGACCAUGCAAUCCCACCAUCUUUGUGCUGUCUUUUUUCAGUGCUUCAGUGAUCUGAUUACAAGCCGAUUCUGUAGUCUCGAAAGUAGAAGUAAAAUGACUUGGCAAACUUAAUUUUCUCUCUAAUGGUAGAGGUUUAGGAAAGGCAACUGUGGUGAAUUCGCUGCAGUCUUGUAGCAGAUCAGACAACUUGCUAGUCUUCUGUGAUGCUUUUCUACCCAGCCAAUAUCGGCAACACCAAUUAGGACACAAUCCAUGAAGACUACUAUCCUUUUCAUCUAUCUCUGCUUUCAACUUCCGAACAUCGUCCAAUUCUGUGUCUACAUUCUUCAGCCACUCCGUUACAUUUUCAUCGACUACUAUGUCGGGGCAUUUUCGUCGUUCAUCGUCUAUUCUUGUUUUGAUGCCAUCUCGUGCCUUCUCCAACUUAGUUUCUUUAUCCUCAAGUUCUUUAACAAUGCUGUUGAAACAGAACAUAUAGCGAGCUUGGUCAAUGGCUGCAUUCACCAAUAAUUCUUCAACCUUUGAUUUUAAAGCUUCCAUGCUAUUUAUCUGCAAAUAACGAAGUUGAUCUCAGCACGCUAUUAGCGAAACAACAAGGUUUGAUCACCAGACAAAAUGAGAACGUUUAAUUACCUCUUUCUGUACUGUGAAUGCACGUCUAUUAACACCAGCUUUGACCAAUAAGAGCAAAAUGCAGAGGUGGGGCCUUAAGAGUUUCGGUGGCCUUUAGCUGCAAAACGGCAGAUGACAAAUAAGGUGAACGUUCCUAGCAAACGUGAUUUACGGUGAAUUAUAUUCAAAUUAGAUUAUUUUAAAAGUUGGUAAAUUAUUUAUCACUCUAUCUUAAUGAUACCUUAUUUGGGAUGGUAAAGAUUGGGGGUAAAUUUCCUUUUAUUCUCACAUGUUUUUAUAGUAUUUAUAUUUUUAUAAAUUACCUAAAACAUCCACGUCACUACUUUUAUAGCUAUUGAGCAUAUCAUUUCAAAUAUAAAAUACUAUUUCUGUCUAAUAUAAAUUAAAAAUCAAACAAAUCUAUCAUGCAAUAAAUGAAAAGUAAAGAAUAUUAAUUAGGUUUUAAUGGAAACAAAUAUAAAACAUAGAGGUUUUGAGUAACUUCUGUGAUUUUUUUUAAUGUUCAAUUUAGAAUUGAAUAAUUUGCAUAAUGAAAUUUUGAGGUUUCUAUAAUUUAUAUGAAGAUAAACUGCAAAAUAAGUUUAUAUGCCGAAAUUAAAAUAGUUAUAUAUUAGCAAUCAUAUAAUAAUAAAAAAUUUUAAUAAAAUUUAUUUAAAAAUUGGCCAAUUGUGUUUCAUGAGUAAAACAGAGAGCAUAAUGGACUUAUGUUGGGUCUUGGGAUUGAAAGACUAAGGGUAAGGGGCCGGGAGGUAGGACGGUAGGAAAAUUAUUAUUAUUUUUUUUUUAUAAAGUAUGGUCAACAUUAGUGACUCGGAGGUGAUUGCCGUUAAUCAAUUACCUUUAACUUAAGAAUUAAUACAAAUAAAUGGCAAAAAUAAUUUAAUGAAAAUUAAUUUAAUAAAAAAUUGCACUAAAAACUUGGAACUCAAAUUCUCGAUCAUUUUAUCCGUACGUUUUAAUCCGACGCUCAGAAUUGGCAUAAAACAAACUAAUAUAGCCAUUGGAAGUAAAACAAACAUCAAAUUUAGAGCCUAUAUCUCGUACCUUCUUCCUUAUAGAUCCUCAAUUGCUGCUGAAAGCUCCAAUUAAGAGAGUCGCACAAGUUCGCAGAAAAUUAAAAGCUGCAUAUGGCAAUAUAAAUAAACAUGAGAUCAAAAAAUCAUAGGAUAUAUCUAGCCAAUUAACAUCAUAUAUAACUCCUUGUUCUCAGUCAAAUCUUUCAUUCUUAGGAGGAUAAAAAAAAGAUUGAAAUAAUAACAGUAAGUGAUAUAGGAAGCAAAAGUAACAUACCAAAACGAGAGCAGCUAGCUCACAGAUCUGGUGACUUUCAAGAGCAUGAAAAAUGAUUAAACUUUGGUAGAAAGGUUUGAGCCGUGUUUCACAAGUUGCUAUUGACUUCGUGGCUUCGCUUUUGUUUAUUAUUAUUAUUAUUUUUUCAAAUUCUAUAUCAGUGAGAAUUGAAAUGUGGAAAGUGAAAUGAUACACAUGCCUUAUCAUCUAUCAUGAGGGGUGAUUUGGUAAAACCGAUUUAAAAUAAAAAAGUUUAAAAAGAUACUUUGUGUCUGACUGCUUGUAUUUGGGGUAUUUUUCGGGUUGUUGAGAGUGAGUUUAAUUAAAUAUAAGAUUUUCAUUUUUCUUAUUCUAUUUUUCUCUUUAGAAUGAAUUUAAAUCGCAUUCUUAUUAAAUUCAUUUUUUUAAAUGAAAGUAGAUUUCUCUCCACACAUUUGAGAUAUAUUUUAAAACAAAUUAUUGAAUCUGGUCCCGCUGGCUUACAGCUUAUGUAAAGUUACAUUCAUAACAAAUUGAUACUUGUCUUUAUUAUAAAUUGUUCUUUUAUUCAAAUAUGCGUUCAUUUCUUCAAUCAAGUCCUCAUAUUCGUUCAAUUUAUGAUAAGAUCCUUGUAUGGGAGCAUAUCUGCAUAUGUAAUAAUUAUUCUUCUAUUUCAGAUAGUUUUUGUGAAAAAAAUACUUUUAUCAAUUAUUUAUGUUUACUAAUUCUUAUGUCUUUGUUUAUUACUUUUCAUAGCUCUAUACAAAUGUUUGCUAUAAAAUUUGUGCUAUUUCGUUAUAAUAUAAUUUAUAUUGUAAACCUCUGUUCAUCUGUAAAUAAAAUGACAAUUUUUUUGUUUACUCCUAAAAAAUAUAAAAAUAUUAAUUUACUCUCAUAUUUAUUUAGAAGACAAUGGCAAAUAAGAUCGCAUUGAUAAAUUUUUUUAUUUACUUAUUAAUUAAUUAGAGUAAAUUAAUAUUUUCACAAUGAAAGAUACAUUGAAGAUUGUCAUUCUUAGUAGAGGGUAAAUUAAAAUUUACCUAAUUAAUUUAAAAUAUCAUUAAAAUUUUACAUUCUAAUCUGAAUUAGAUUUGCGCGGGGGGGAGGGGGGGGGGGCAACGUCCUUAUUCGGAUUAGACUCAGCUGGAAGAGGCAUAUCCUUAGCUGGAUCAAUUUGUUCAAGUUUGGAUGCAUCCAUCGGUUUCAAAUUAGUCUCUUGUAAGUAUCAUCGGAUUUCUUGACUAAAAUUUAGCUUAUCAAUCACAUCUAAAACUUAUUGAAUGAUACAUUUCAUUUCUAUAAAAUUGAGUUACUAUUACCACCUCACAUCUUAUAAAUUCUAGAAAAUAAUCAAGGCUUGACAUACUUUUAUUUAUGCAAAAGCAUAAGAAAAUAAUUCAAAGUACUAAUUAGUGUACUAUUCCUCAAAAUUCUAGAAUAGAUUUGCUAGUUCUCUUUAGCCAUAGAUUGGUCCAUGAUUGGCACCGCAAUAGCUCAGAAUCACCUCAACGAUUGUUCUACACGGCCCAACAUGACACGCUGUAAACUAGUCUAACAUGAACUUUCUGAGUGGCUUUCUAGCAAUAGUCUUAGAGAAAGUGUUUAGUAGUAUGAAGUCUUCUUUUUUUAACACAAAUAUUGACAUGAUAUUCUUAAUAUAUUUCUAAAAUCAAAAUAAGAUGCAUAGAGGACGACGAUAAUUUUAUUUCAUAAUUGAUUUUUUUGCAAAGAAAGUUUGAACAUGAGAGUGAUGAGAGAUGAGAAUAUUGAUGAUGGUGUGUACUUUGGAUGGAAAAAUAGAUUGGAAAUAUAUAUAGACAUAUUAAAAGAAAAAAAUUUGGUCUAUUUCUUAAGAGAAACAAAAAAUUAUAAACGCGGGUGUUAAAAUGUAUUCAGAAUUUAUAAAUUUUUAUAAAUAUGAUAAUCAUCAGACCCUUAUAAAAGUAUAACAAAAAAGUUUAAAUUUUUUUAAUAAAUGUAGAAGAGAUGAACGAAGAAAUCAUCCACCAGUUCAGAAUUAACAAUCAAAGAUAUGAGGACUUGAUUGAAGAAAUGGUGAAAAAUAAAAGGACACUGGGUUGCUGUCAAUUUCUACCGUGUAGGUUCAUAGCCGGGGAAGUAAUUGGGCACAAAUAUCUCGGAUGAGAAAUAACCAUUUUAUCCCGCAACCAUAUGUUUAUGGCCUCUAAAAAUUUUCACCUCUUUCACUUCUGGAACCCGUGCUUUCUGGCACAUGCACAAUACUUGGUUGCUACUUAUAGAGCGUUUUUAGAAUUGCAACGACAUGGUGCUCUUUGAUAAUUCAAAAAUCCAAUAUAAUUUAUAGAGAAUUACAGAAUUGUUUGUGGUACGUGAUAAUUUGCUGAUGCAAUGAGGCGCCGAAAUUCUUAUACAUGUGAUUUAAGUUAUAUAUGUAUAGUUAAGUACUUAGCAAGCACUAGUUGGGGGUAUUUGUGUCCAUGGAAAUCUACAGCUGGUUGUUGACAUUACACUGCGGGUGUGUAAUUAUUACAUAUGCAGAUAUUCUCCCAUGCGAGGAUCUUAUCAUAAAUUUAAAGGAUACGAGGACUUGAUUGAAGAAAUGAACGAAUAUUUGAAUAAAAAAAUUUUUUAGAAUAAAGACAAGUAUUAAUUUACUAUGAAUGUAACUUACAUAAGCUGUAAGUUAGCGGGACACUAUUGAAUCACAAGCAAAAAACAAUCUGUCUUCUUCUUCAUUCCGUAAUUUGGCUGUCAAAAUACAAUCUAUAAAGAUUACGAUACCUCGAUUCAAAAAAUGUUGUUUCUGAUGAAAUAAAUGAAAAUUGAACGUACAAUCUGCCACGAACACUAUUCAAUUAACCGUUUAUUUCCCCUUAAAUUUUUAAUUUCAAUGAAACAUAGAUCUAAUGGGAACUACAUAUAUAUAAAAAUACUAUAGAUUGAAGAAGUUGAAUUUUUCUUGUGUGUUAAGUAUUUUUGGUUAAUACGAAAGGAUUCUAGCAAGUUAAUACAAAAGUAUCAUAAAUUCAAUGUAGUACAAGAGAUUUUUUUUUUCCUUUGAUGUUAGGAGUUUUGGAGAUAAAAAAAAAUAGGUGAAAGAAGAAGAUGAGAGAAGAAAAAAUAUUAAGAAUAGUUUUGGCAUUUUGAUGCGUUUUAUAGAGUAAAAUUUAUAUUUUAUGGUAUAAAAAGGUACACCCAGAAUUUAAUGAUAAAAUUUUAGGAAAAAAUUGCACUCGUCAAAAAAAAAAAAGGGCUCAGCUUAGCCCAAUUUUUUUUUAUUAAUCUUCUAGUCGCUAAUGUAAUCUCUUUUUUAUGAGAUUCUUUGGCGUUUUAAUUUAGUCCAUUGUUAGCAAUCCUAAUAGUUUUUAUGUGAAAUAUGUUUCAAGCUUGAAUAAAAUCUGCGGGACAACUGGUAAGUAAUAAAGCUCAUCAUUUUUUUUUUAUUUUGAAAAUAAAAGGGAAUCACUUACACUUAGCAUGAUAUUAUUUUUGAUAAGUCAUUUUUUUGGUAGAUUAUUUUUUCUGACACGCUCUUAGAUUUAGUGAAAAUAAAUUGUAUACUUUUAAUGAAGAAAAGUAAAGAUCAACAAAAUAUUUUAUUGUUUUCGACAACUUUCGCGUUGUCAAGUGCGCCUGAUACCCUUUUUGUUUUUUUGAACAUGGGCCCACGUGCCAUUGUUUCCAUUUCAAGUUCAUAAUUUAACAGUAGAAAUGGGUUCCAAAGAUAAUUUAUUUUAUAAUUUUUUAAAAAAUUACCAAAAUAUAAUAAAUAAGGUAAUAAUAAUUAAUAAAAAAGUAGAUUUUAAGAUGGAAAAAUCUUUUUGUGUACUUAAUAAAAAGAUGAUAAGAAUGGGAUGCUUUUAGUUAAUUGGUUUACAUUCUCAUGGUUAUUUAUACUGAAAAAUUACAUCAAAAUUUAAUUAAUAAAUCAGUGAACUGCAGACUUAUUAAAUUUAAGUUAUUUUAAUAAGUCAUAAAUAUACUAAACUAAAAUAGUAAUAAACCCAUUGUUAUACAAUACUCUCCAUUGAGUGUUCACCAUUUUAAGAUAAUCAUAAAAUGACACCGGAAGUGCUAUUAUAGCUGUCUCAUGGAAAGCCUUCACCUAGGGGUGGGCAAAUCGGAUUUCAGUUCGGGUUGUUCGGGUUUCGGUUCGGGUUGGAGAAUUGAACCCAAUCGGGUUCAAAACGCCAACCCGAACCGAACCGAACCGAAUUUAAUUCGGUUCGGUUCGGUUUGGGUUGACAAUUCGGAUCGGAUUGGGUUGAUAAUUCGGGUUACAAUUUCGGUUCGGGUUAAUUCGAGUUAGUUCGGGUUAGUUUGGAUUGAAACAAUUUAAUCUAAAAAUUCUAAGUUUCUAACCACUUAAAAUCUAAAAAUUUAAAUUCCAAAUAUUCUUAACAACAAAUAUCCAGUACAAUCAAACUACAAAAAUUAUAAAUCUAAAAAUUAAAAUGGCAAAUGGCAACCAUGAUUAAACAUCUCCAUUCUCCACAUGACAAAUAAGGCUAAUAAUCCAUCUCUAAGACUAACACCAUCAAUACUCAACACAACAUCUCCAAAUUAGCAAUAAUUAACCACCACCAUAGAAAAAUAUCGAGCAACAACGGAUAGAAAAUGAAGCAAAUCAGUCCAUGCUGCAAAAAAAUUAAAAAACUUAAUUAAAAUUUAGUUGAAUAACUCAAUAUGCCUUAACAAUUCUCAAUAUUACUAGUAGCAUAUUUGUAUUAUGACUAUGCCUUAAUUGUAAAUGAUUAUUAAGUUUGAUCUAAAUCGAUAACAAACUUACUGUUGCAGCAAAAAUCUUCAUAUUAGAACACUUGGAUGUUCUGCUUAUGUCGAUUUACGAAGCUCUACAUAAAAUAAAAAGAUUUGAAGUAAAUAACUCUUUAACUUAAAGUAAACAAAUCUAAAAAAUAAAUAAAUAAUCAUUAAUAUUUAUACCUUCUGUAAGAGCAUCCAUGAACUCAUUUUCCUCCACCAACACCUGAAGGUUUGUCGUUGAAUCAAUAAAAAGUGAAGUUCGCAACCAAUUUUGUGUCAGUAUCAAUGCUUCCACCAUAUCAGGAGUCAUAGAACUCCUAUUAUUCAUCUAAAAUACGACCUCCUGUGCUAAAGGCGGACUCAUGAAUUCUUGAGCCACCACUAUCAGACAUCUGAAUCAUAAAUCCAUAACAUGAUCGCAUUAGGUUCUCAUUACAAAACCUCAAAAUUUCAUAAUGUUAUAACUUAUAAUAUCCUAAAUUGAACAAAUAUCACAAUUUAAUUAAUUGAACAACACUUAAGUUAAAUACAAACAAUAAUAAUAACUACAUAUCAACAAUUCAGCAUAUUACCAUUUUCUAAAUUAAAAAAACAGCAAAAAUUAAUCAAUUAAUUAACAAUCUCCAAUUUAAUUAAUAACUUCAAUUUAAUUAAUAACCAUCUCCACCCUCCAAUUGUUCAAUUAUCAAUAAACUCACUCCAAUUUAAUUAAUAACAAUCUCCAUUUAUUCAAUUAUCAAUCAACAACAACAAACCCACUUCAAAUAAUUGAAUAAUUAUCAAUCAAUUAAUUAAAAAUUUACAAUUUAAUUAAUAUCAAUAGGCUAUUAAAAACUUAAAAUUUGAAUCGGGUUGUUGCCAUCAGCUGCGUGCAAGUCAGCAAGUUAUAGCGUCGCCGUCGGCAAGGUAAGACAAACCUUGAUCUCGGAGGUCGGAGUAGCUACAACGUCGGCAGAUCGAGGCUUGCUGGGCUGAGUGGGACGCGAGCUGAACGGCGAACGCACAGCGCAGUUGCGGGCAAGGCGUGCUGGCUGACGUGAGUGGGCUGCGGUGAACGGAGAUGCUGGCUGCUGCUGUGAGUGUUCUUGUCGUGGGAGGGAGUGAGACGGUGAACGGGGCUGCUGGCCGCUGCUGCUGUCCGCUGCUGGUGGCUGCUGGUGGCUGCUGCUGGUGGCUGGUGGCUGCUGCUGGUGGUUGCUGCUGGUGGCUGCUGCUGCUGGCUGAGCUACUGCUGCUGGCGGCUGCGAGCUGCUGCUGCUGGCUGCUGCGAGCUGCUGCUGCUGGCUGCUGCGAGCUGCUGCUGCUGGCUGCUGCGAGCUGCUGCUGCUGGCUGCUGCGAGCUGCUGUUGUUGGUGUCUGUUGGAGCUGAACGGGGCUGCUGUGGCUGCUGCUAAGGGGCUGCUGCAGAAGUCGUCGGCCACAGUUCACAGAAAAUGAGAAGAGGAAGCAAGGAGGGGAGGCCGAGAGGGAGAGCUUUUUGUUUAGGGUUAGGGAUUUUUUAGUUUAAUUAAUGUUUAUAACUAUAUAUAUUUUUAAUUUAAAAGUUAAAUGUUAAAAAAAAUAACUUCAACUUGAACCGGUUGAAAAUUCGGUUUGGGUUCAACCCGAACUAAAAUAUAACUUGAACGGAUUAAAAUUUUGAACCCGUUCGGAUUUCACAGGUUAAUCCGAACUGAAUCAAACCCGAAAUAAAUUUCGGGUUCGGUUCAGUUCGGGUUAACCCGAACCGAACGCCCACCCCUACCUUCACCAAUAAAAAGGAGGAUAGAGCACAUACAUCCAGUUUUUAUACCCUUUGAUGCUCAGUCGACACGUGCCAAUGCUAUAGACUAUCGGAUAAUCUACUAAGGUGACGCAUGCCAAUGCUAUAGACUAGCUUUUCAAAGGUUGAAGUGGGUAUACUAAUAGUAAAAAGAGACUUAAUUCUCAGAGGCUACUCAUUCUAAGUCUUAAAGAAAAAAUUUUCUAAUUUCUAAAGAUUAUAUGGGGAAAAAUCAUUAUUUUCUAACAUGGAAAAUUUGAUACGGUGUUUAAUGUCUGAUCACAAUCAUAAUAUGAGUACUAACAAAAACAUCUUUAAUCGGCAUGGUGCAAGUAAAACACCAUCACUUCAUCUUUGAUGGAAAGAUGAUAAUAUAAGGAGAUGGUGAAAUGGUUUUGGUCCCUGGCAGCUUUAAUCAAAAGAAAACAAAAAACUACACUAUCAUUAAUGAUUACCGAAGCUACAAAAGUAUCAAAAUCGGAAAGUAAACAAUUGCAAAACACAUCAAUGACUGGAGGUUAGAUUCUAAAACUUCCGCAUUUAAUUUUCAGAGCAUGUUAUGUAUUAUUCAGAAAUAUGCUUUCACUUCAGGAAUUUGACCAAGACGCAUUAAACAUAAAACGCGGCGUUUUCAUGGACUAGUACAUUCCAUGCUUCGAAAGUUUAUGUUUUAGACUGAUUGGUUUGAUACAUUAUUUGUUUAUUGCGUUUUUCUUGCUUUAAAUAUUAUGUUGGAUUGAUAAGUUUUGUACACAUUUAUAUUGCUCGCAGUAAAUAAUUUAUGACAUUUAAAAGACUAUCAACCGUCUAUCAAAAGAUUUCUACUAUAAAUAUAUAUGCACAAAAAACUUUUAAUUUGGUCAAUUUGUUCUCUUAUUUAUUCAACCCAUCAUCCACAAAAUCACCAACCCGUUUCACCUUCAUCUCCUUGGGCUUAACAGGGUACUUUCCAGCAAGCAAAACAAAAAUUCUGAGAAUCAUCGCCUAACAACUAGUUCAAGCUGUCAAUCGGCAGAAAACAAGCGAAUCACACCCAAUAAACUCCCUGAUUUCCUCAACGCUCAUCCUGUUGGAAAUCAACUCCUCAGUACUUGGAGUGUCUACUCCGUAGUAACAAGAAGCUAUGAUUGGUGGGCUUGCAAUUCUCAUGUGAACCUCUUUAGCUCCAGCCUCCUUAAGCAACCUAAAAAUUUUUGAUGAAGUUGUUUCUCACACUAUCGAAUCAUCCACAACCACAACUCUCUUUCCCUCCAACCACAACCUUACAGGAGACAGCUUAAGCUUGACACCAAAGUCCCCAAUUUUCUGGGAAGGCUCAAUGAAAGUUCUCCCAACAUAAUGUGACCUUAUCAACCCUUGUUGAAAUGGCACCCCGGCUUUCGCAGCGUACUCAAGUGCAGCCACCACUCCAGAAUCUGGUACUGCAAUCACGACAUCACACUCAACAGGAGCAUCGGUAGCAAGUACUUCCCCAAAAUGAUACCUCGACUCAUAAACAGACCUUCCACAAACAACAGAAUUAGGCAAAGCAAAAUAAAUAUGCCCAAAGAUGCACUGCUUACGUUCAGGGUGAGGCAUCAAACAAGGUGAUUGAACCCCAUCUUUAUCAACCAUCAAAACUUCACCGGGAUAUACCUCUCUCUCUCUCUCUCUCUCUCUCCCCCUCUCUCUCCCUCUCUCUCGUAUGUGGCCUCAAUCAAAUAGUGCACAAGUCUCCGACGCAAAAACCAGAGCACCAUUACUCCUCCUACCCAUCACCAAUGGCAUAAACCCAUACGGGUCACGAACCGCAACAAGCUUAUCCUCAGUAACAAACACCAUUGAAUAAGCACCCUCAAGCUUCUCACAAACAUCCACAAUCCUCAAAAAGAACGGCCUAGCUUUCGAUAUCGGAAUCAAAUGGAGAACAACCACAGUAUCAGAACUAGUAUUGAAAAUGGAUCCAUUAUCUUCAAGCUUAGCCCUCAAAGUAUUAUAAUUAACUAAUGUGCAACACCAACAGAACCAAACCUGUACCCAGCAACAAAAGGCUGCACAUUCUUAAGCAUAGAACUACCCGCAGUCGAAUAUCUAGCAUGACCAAUGGCCAUAUCACCCGGCAAUUGAUCAAGUUUAGACUGAUUAAACACAUCAGAGACUAAACCAACACCAGUAAUAGACUGAAGAACUUUGUUAUUCACAGCAACUAUACCUGCACCUUCUAGGCCGCGAUGCUGCAUCGCGUGUAGCGCCAAAUAGCACAAACGCGAGGCCUCUGGGUCACCAUAGAUGCCCACAACACCACACUCCUCACGGGGCUUAUCGUCGUCAUCAUCAUCAAAACUGCCAAAACCGUCAUCUGGGUAUUCUUUAUUUGUGGUGAAAAACUCAGAGAUGGGGUUUUUUGAUAGAACAGUGAAGUUAUUUUUGUGGAUUAAAGAUUGUUGUUUCUGAGGAGAAAAAAGGGUUUUUUUGCAGGGUUUUGGAGAAAAGAGAAAGAUGGGGUUUUUGCGACGGCUUAGGGUUAGCAGAGGGAGAUGGGUUUGAGAGAGUGCAGAUGUUGGCGGUGCCUGUUGUGGUGG